rnacentral:lncRNA from 1 species
AUAGUGUUCCUCCUCAACGCACCGUAGCUAAUGUACCUGCUCGUGGCUAAGAUGCGCCGGUUGAUCUCCGAGUCCAUCUGCAUCUCCGCAUCCUCGUCCUCGUCAGUUAUUAGUCCCCCCGCCGCCGAUCUCGUCGAAGCCCAGCUCAGGUCGCCCAGCUGGUGGCCCCCGCUGAAAUCAACGGCCGAAGCUGAAGCAAUCACUACCAAAUGGGCGGCCAGGACUGCGCAGAUGAAGAUGCAGCCAAAGAGUGAUGGAGUUCUUGAGCUUGAGCUUCCCAUUAUUUUUUUUUUUCGGUUUUUGUCUAAAAUCUCAAGUUUCUGAGAGGCAGUGGUUUUGCAGAGUAGUUUGGGGGUUUAUAAACUUAGUGACCGUUGGAGAUAAAAUGCCACUGGGUUUGGGAGUAAUUACGGGGAAAUGCCACUCUACUGAUCAUCUUUGUAAGAAUGUCAAUGACUUUAUGGUCACCCAUUAAUCACGCUUCUUUUGACUUUAUUUGUACAUUUAAUUUGGGAAAUUAAUAAAACUGCCUUUUAUAUUCCUCUUAAUUUGGGUUGGUGGACACAUUUAUAUUGCUUUUAGGUAUCCUUUGGUAUGCAGACGAGAUGGGACGGAACAGAAUGAGACAGGACAUGAUGAGACGGAAUGAAGAGGGAGUAAAGAUGCCAUUGGAUGGAAAUAAGGAGGAAGAAGAAGAAGACGGAGAUGUUAUAAUUUUGUGUCCUACGGAUGUAGAACGAGAUGGGAUGAGUGGAAAAAAAAUUUACCCAAAAUUCAUCCCGUAAAACAGCUUUCACCCUUUUUAGGCGCACCCAACGUGGGACGGAACGUCUCGUCUGACUCUGUUCUGUCUCAUCUCACGUACCAAACAGUACCUUAGGUAUCGUUUGGUAUGCAGACGAGACGGGACAGGACGGGACGGGACGGAAAGGGAGCAAAGAUGUCAUUGAAUGGAAACAAGGAGAAAGAAGUAGACGACGGAGAUGUUAUAAUUUUGUGUUCCACAGAUGUGGAACGAGUCGUUCCAGGGGGUAAGGUGGAACGAAAAUUCACCUAAAACUCGUCCCAUGGAACAGCUCGGUCCACCCGUUUUAGUUUCACCCAUGGUUUAAAAUAUCCAUAAUAUUCCGAUAUUUCCAUUGAAAUUUCUGUGUUUUUGGACUACCGAUAUUUCCGAUAUCAUCGAUAUUUUAGACCUUGCUAAGUCAAUCAUGUAUCUUACCAUGCAAUGUAUAAAGUGUAAUAUUGUACCAAUUCAUUAUAUAUAAAUGAUUAUGGUGUGUUUAAACUUCUUUCAUUAAUUACUACAUAUUUUAUACACUCACAAUGUUUGCCAGCUCGCUAUAUAAUCAACUUAAAUCAGUUAUAUCUAUCAUGCAAUGCAUUUCCUUCCAAUUUUUUGUGAUAAACUAAUAGAUAAUUGACUAAAUAAAUAUCCUGCAAAGUUUCAAUAAAAAUUUUCAAGUUUUUCUUACAAUUUCCGUGAUUUUUAUUCAAUUUUUAUCGAUAUCGAUAAUAUCCCGAUAUUUUCAUCGAAAUUUUCGUGUUUUUGGAAUUAACAAAGCAUCGUAAUGAAUGGAGUGUUCAAAGGGACGAAAAUACAUGCUUCAACGUUAAAAAAAAAACACGUGAAAAAAUAUGUUGAAAACGUCAUAAGUCAGACGAUGAAAUGAUGAUGAAAUAUUACGUGGGUUAAAAGAUGUGUGUAACCAUUUUCAAAUGAGUUUGGGUUGUUGGAGAAUAUAUAAAAUCUGUCAAGUGAUUAGAUUGAUUUGCUGCAAUAACUGAUAGAAAGAAUGGAGUCAUAAUAUUGAAUUCAAACAUUCAAAUCAAAAGACUGAAGCCAACAAAUUUGUUUGAGAAAUACUAAGGAGAUUCUCUUAAAAUGAAACUUUUUAUGAAUUUUCUAUUACCUUACAGUUUAACGUUAAUUUCUAUACCAAUAUUAUAAAACACUAUACAAAAAAUAUAAUAUGACAGAGAGUAAUAAUUAUAUUUUUGAGCAAAUCUCUUUAUCAUCUCUCAACUUGUAAAUCAAAAUUUAAUAAGUUCGGAAAUCUCCAGCACAAGUCUUAAAUGGCAAAAACUCCGUACAAGGCUUAAAUAUAAGGUAAUGAAUAAGUAAUGAUCCAUGGUAAAUUCCAUGCUUACCAUGCUUAUAAGAAAUUUACGUCAAGGGUUAAAAACUUUUUGAUCACUAUGUUUUGGAUUGAAAUCGAAAUCUAUAUUGGUCAUUGUAUACCGAAUUUAGUUAAUUUGGUCAUUUGAAAUGUCAAAUUGGUAAUGUUUGACAACAAAAUGAUGAAAUUGGUUUAAAAACACACACACCAUUUUUUUUUGUUUCAAAACAAGGCAGAUUUUGAGGUUUCGCCCGUCAGACUACGUGUAUGUCCAGAUUUUGCUUUGGAUGUAGGUCAUAGUGUAAAAACUCAAAACUUUUUUUAAGACUGAUCGAGUUUAGUUUAUUAUUGUGAAGUUCUGUCACUGAGGCAUUUUGUCAAGAAUUUGGUGUCCCUAUCAACUUUUGUCGAGCUAUGUUGUCGAGCCUUGCUAACAUAUGUUGAAUAAUGAUGUUGAGGCCCAUCAAGUAUCACGUUUCGAGCCUUGUCGAUAUAUGCUGAACAUGUAUUUUAUCGAGUACUUGGUGGGUACUACCAAGUCUCAUGCUAAACUAACAUGGAGUUCAUGAAAGACCUUUUGAGUUACUUCCCGUAUUUUAGGGUCAUGGGAGACUAGAACCCAACUGGUCCCUUAAUGGAACCGCCAUUGUCCCACCUAAUUUUAGAGAGACGACAUUGUACACACGAUUAUCUUCCAGGGUGGUGCUAUUCACAUACCCUUUUUACAUUCCACACACCCUCUGUUUUCCGUCCGUUGACCAUCCUCAUUCAUUCAAUUUGCCGACAAAAAAUUAAGAGAGAUGUUUGAAGUAAAAAAUGGUGUGUGGAUAACAUCACCCAUCUUCUAAAAUACAAUGCCAACAAAGAUUUUUAAUCGCCGAUUUUUGGGCCAAUAGGAUUUCGUCUGAUAGGCCCAGUUUAUAGUUAUCACUGUCGCACUCCUCCUCGGCAUAUAACGAACGCAGAUUUUUGUUUUGGGAUUGGGAGUUGAGGGUUUUGGAUUAAAUUUAGUGGUGUUUGUGUGUGGAUGCAGCUCGGCGACGAACAGGCUGAUCACCUCCAAGGACCACGCUUCUGUUCAGAUCAACGUUGGGCAUUUGGAUGAGCAUGGCAUCUACACUGGCCAAAUCUCACAUGUUGAAUGACUGGCUGCGGUCGAAAAUCCUAAACUAUGCCAAAACAAUGACCAUUUUUUCAGCUAUGAUUUUCUUUAUUACAUCAGGAUACAAUGCAAGUUUGCAAUUACAGUUUUUGAAAUUGUUCAAUUACUGAGAAAUUUAAACUAAGUAUGAAGUUGUUCGAUUAUUCUGAUAUUGGGUUACGGCAAGUUUGUUUGAUUAGGUUUUCAUUCGAAAAGGAAAAAGAAACACAAAAAAAUAUAGGCACUACUUCUAAGAUAGGAUAACAAUAACAAGAAUUGCUUAAGAAACGAUAACGCCUUCUUCCACUCCAAGCUUUCUUCGAGUCUCGGCUCUCCCUCUUGACUUUACUUUCUUUUUCACCAUGUUAAUUAGUGUGUAUUUUUAUUUUUGAAUCCGUCAUUCGCAAUUUGGCAUUCCAUUUGUUCUGCUCUGAUUUCCUUUGCACACUUUCUCCUGGCAGAAGAAGAAAACCCAAGUUAAACAACAGUAGAAGGAGAUGAUGAUUUUUCUUGCUUCCUCGAACCUUCGGUUCUUGGGGAUGGAAGUAAGGGGUGGAUAUUUUUGCCAAAUUGCCGUACCUACCGAAUUGUCAACCGUGUCAUACUGAUUUUGUGCCAAUCGGUAAUGGUACGGUAUUGUACCGUACCAAAUCUUCAUGGUAUGGUAUUAGUAAUAGAUACCAUUACCACGGCGUUACCAUACCAUACCGAAAAUAUAAUAUAAUAUAUAAUUAUAUUAACACAUAUUUGUAAUAUUCCAUUGCUUGCUUGAUUCCUAUAAUGAGUAUAGGAGAUUAAAAAAUGGUUGCUUGAUUUGUAUAAAUGAGUGUAGGAGGGGUUCUUCUACUACUAUUGGGGCUCCCUUGGAAGAUGUGGAACUAAAUGAGGAGUUCAUAAUUCAAGCUUGUGGGGGUGAUGAGAACAAAAUUGAAAUGAUGAAGGAGCUUAUACAUAAAAAAAGACCUGUUUAUGAAACUUAUUAUCUGGAUGGGAAUCAAGAACAAGAAAAUUCAAAGUUAGAAAUAUUAAAAAAAAGAAAAAAAGGAAUAAAAAAAUGAAUACAUAAGAUACAACAACAACAACAACAAAGCCUUUUCCCACUAAGUGGGGUCGGCUAUAUGAAUCCUAGAACGCAAUUGCGCUCGGUUUUGUGUCAUGUCCUCCGUUAGAUCCAAGUACUCAAGUCUUUUCUUAGGGUCUCUUCCAAAGUUUUCCUAGGUCUUCCUCUACCCAUUCGGCCCUGAACCUCUGUCCCGUAGUCACAUUUUCGAACCGGAGCGUCAGUAGGCAUUCUUUGCACAUGUCCAAACCACCGGAACCGAUUUUCUCUCAUAUUUCCUUCAAUUUUGGCUACUCCUACUUUACCUCGGAUAUCCUCAUUCCCAAUCUUAUCCUUUCUCGUGUGCCCAUACAUCCCACGAAGCAUCCUCAUCUCCGCUACACCCAUUUUUUGUACGUGUUGAUGCUUCACCGCCCAACAUUCUGUGCCAUACAACAUCGCUGGCCUUAUUGCCGUCCUAUAAAAUUUUUCCUUGAGCUUCAGUGGCCUACGACGGUCACACCACACGCCGGAUGCACUCUUACACUUCAUCCAUCCAGCUUGUAUUCUAUGGUUGAGAUCUCCAUCUAAUUCUCCGUUCUCUUGCAAGAUAGAUCCUAGGUAGCGAAAACGGUCACUUUUUGUGAUCUUCGCUAGAUUGCUCCGGUCAUUAGUGUGGAUAAGUAUAUAUAAAUGGAUAGAGAUAGGAAAGCAAACACAAGAUGUACGUGGUUCACCCAGAUUGGCUACGUCCACGGAAUAGAGGAGUUCUCAUUAAUUGUGAAGGGUUUACACAAGUACAUAGGUUCAAGCUCUCCUUUAGUGAGUACAAGUGAAUGAUUUAGUACAAAUGACAUUAGGAAAUAUUGUGGGAGAAUGAUCUCGUAACCACGAAACUUCUAAGUACCGGAGUGUGGUAUCGUCUUGACUUGCCUUAUCUGUCUCAUAGGUAGAUGUGGCAUCUUCUCUGGAAGUACUCUUCCUCCAUCCAGGGGUGGUAUCUGUAACUGGUGGAGAUGCACAAGGUAAUGUAUCAAUUUCACUUGAAGCUUACUUGUAGUUUCAGGCUUGGUCAAGCGCGAUACAAACCAUGUAGUAGGAGUCCCCCAAGUCGCCGAGCUAGGGGAUCUGCUGAAAGAGGUGACAGACAAGGUAAGCAAUCAGAGCUCCGGCUGAUUGUUCACAUUCUCCCUAUCUUGCAGGCAGCAUGAAGGAUAAAGAGAAGAAAAAUGAGAAGAGAUGAUAUGGGAUACUUUUGCUUUUGAAGAAGUAACUUUCCACAGGCUUAUUCUUGAACUGGGCUGGAGGGUUUUCUGGUUUCCUCCAGAGUAUAAGGCCGACUGAAGAAUUUGAGGGUCAAAACAAGUCCAUCAAAUCUAGAGUACGUUCGACCCUGCUGAUAUGGGAUACUUUUGCUUUUGACAGAGUAGUGGAUGUAUCGGCACGUGUGCUGUUACGCUUGUCUCCCACAUGCUUCCUUGUAUCCUUCUCACUUGCCCUAUCUGUUCCUCAGGCAGAUGCGGUAUCUUCCCUGGAAGCAUAAGAUGUUGAAGAUGAGUACUCGAGAGCAAUGCCAGGUAAGUAAUCAGGUAAGGGGUUCCAGGCAGUCAGUUCCUGGCUGGAAGCUUGAUUCCAAGUGCUGACUGAUUGCUCUCUUUCUCCUUGUCUUGCAGGUAAGAACAAGGCCAAAGGAAAAGACAGGGAAAAAGCAUGAUAUGGGAUACUCUUGCUUUUAACCCUGAUGAUAUGAGAUAUUCUUGCUCUAGUAUAGCUUGUUUACAGAGGUAUUAUCGGGGGGAAAGAAAGCUGAAUAUUUCGAAAGGCUUCGUUGGGAGUGCCCUCUCAGAUAAGAGGAAGGGUUGAGCAUUUUUGCAGGUCUGCCUGUCCGUUGGGGAUGGAGGUCGACAUAUAUAGGAGUCUCCCUAACAUCAAGUAAUAAUGCUAUUCCUUUACCCUGCUUGGUCAUAGCACGGUAGUGGGAGCUGCCAGCUUCACAUGUUUUAACUCUGUCAGAGCACUUUGAAAAAGUGGUCUGUGGUAUCUGGAAAGCUGAUGUGCGUGUGAAGAUUACAGACAAGCUUUAUCCAAGGAGAUCCAGCUCUUGAAGUUGGGAAAGUGGUGCCUCUUCGGUUUUCGAACAAGCAAUCCUGUCGGGGAUCUGGCUCUCGAGAUUCGGAGAACGAUGCCUCUUCGAUUUUUGAGAAAGCAAUCCUGCUGGGGUCUGGCUCUCGAGAUUCGGAGAGCGGUGUCUCUUCGAUUUUUGAGAAAGUAAUCAUGUUGGGAGUCUGGCUCUCGAGAUUCGGAGGGCGGUGCCUCUUCGAUUUUGGAGCAAGCAAUCUUGUUGGGAGUGUUUUCUCGAAUGUGAGUAAAGGUUGGGCAUGUUUGCUAGUCUACCUUGCCACGAAGCACAGAGGUUGACACACAGGGACUUUCCAAUUAUCCAGCAGUGGUACUGUUCCUUUACCCUCUCUUCGAUUUUUGAGAAAGUAAUCAUGUUGGGAGUCUGGCUCUCGAGAUUCGGAGGGCGGUGCCUCUUCGAUUUUGGAGCAAGCAAUCUUGUUGGGAGUGUUUUCUCGAAUGUGAGUAAAGGUUGGGCAUGUUUGCUAGUCUACCUUGCCACGAAGCACAGAAGGUUGACACACAGGGACUUUCCAAUUAUCCAGCAGUGGUACUGUUCCUUUACCCUCUCUUCGAUUUUUGAGAAAGUAAUCAUGUUGGGAGUCUGGCUCUCGAGAUUCGGAGGGCGGUGCCUCUUCGAUUUUGGAGCAAGCAAUCUUGUUGGGAGUGUUUUUCUCGAAUGUGAGUAAAGGUUGGGCAUGUUUGCUAGUCUACCUUGCCACGAAGCACAGAGGUUGACACACACCGGGACUUUCCAAUUAUCCAGCAGUGGUACUGUUCCUUUACCCUUGUGGGUAAUAAUAUGGUAGCUAGACCUUCAAAAUUUAUGUGUGUCUAAACUUUGUUAGUGUUGUUUCUUUGCUAUUCUUUUACCCUUCUUGGUCAGAGCGAUGUAGUGGGAGCUGCAAGCUUCACGUGUCUCAACUUUGUCAGAGAACUUUGGCAAAGUUAUCUGUGGUACCCAUGAGCUACUGUUGCGUGUGGGAAGUGGGUGAUUGAACAGUACGAUUCAUGUGCUUUCUACUUCGCCAGAAAUCUUCGACAGAAUGCCCAUAAUUUCCGCAAAGCUGAGUGUGCGUGUGACAGGUGCUGACAAGGCUGGAAAAGUAGGUGCCUCUUCGAUUUCUGAGAUCGGCCCUCGUGGUCUCUGAGCAGCCCAGCUUUUGAGAAAGCAAGCCUCUUCGAUUUCUGAGAUCGGCCUUCGUGGUCUUUGAGCAGCCCAGCUUUUGAGAAAGCAAACGCCUCUUCGAUUUCUGAGAUCGACCCUCGUGGUCUCUGAGCAGCCCAGCUUUUGAGAAAGCAAACGCCUCUUCGAUUUCUGAGCAGGCGCCUCUUCGAUUUCUGAAGCUUCGUCGAGUGCAGAUUUUUAUAGGGGCUGACAUUAAGUUCCAAAGCACACUUGAAUAUCCACCAGUAGAAGCUCCAUUCUUGCACUUCUAAGAUCUUGAUUUGUCCGACCUCUUCUCUCUUCAACACCUUUGAAAAUGUCUGGCCCCUCCGACCGUCGUUUUGACUUGAACCUUGUUGAAGAGGCAGCCCCGCCUUCUCCAGACAACAUAUGGCGCCCAUCCUUCGUCUCCCCUACUGGUCCUCUUACCGUUGGGGAUUCCGUGAUGAAGAAUGAUAUGACCGCUGCGGUAGUGGCCAGGAACCUUCUCACUCCCAAAGAUAACAGACUACUUUCCAAACGGUCUGAUGAGUUGGCUGUUAAGGAUUCUCUGGCUCUCAGUGUUCAGUGUGCAGGUUCUGUGUCUAAUAUGGCCCAACGCCUAUUUGCUCGAACCCGCCAAGUUGAAUCAUUGGCGGCUGAAGUGAUGAGUCUCAAACAGGAGAUUAGAGGGCUCAAGCAUGAGAAUAAACAGUUGCACCGGCUCGCACAUGACUAUGCUACAAACAUGAAGAGGAAGCUUGACCAGAUGAAGGAAUCUGAUGGUCAGGUUUUACUUGAUCAUCAGAGAUUUGUGGGUUUGUUCCAAAGGCAUUUAUUGCCUUCGUCUUCUGGGGCUGUACCGCGUAAUGAAGCUCCAAAUGAUCAACCUCUGAUGCCUCCUCCUUCUAGGGUUCUGUCCAGUACUGAGGCUCCGAAUGAUCCCCCUCCGGUGCCUUCUCUUUCUGGGGCUCUACCGACUGCUGAGACUUCUCCUAAGCAACCUUUGUGAAGGCUCCCUCUUGUUUGUUUAUUUUGACUCAAGUAUAUGUACAUAUUUGUAACUUAUCGGGGAUAUCAAUAAAUAAGCUUUCCUUCAUUUCAACGUAUUGUGUUAAAUACACCAAAGCCUUCUUCGCUAAGUUCUUUGAAUUUUCUUUUGUUGAAGCUUGUAUGUUGAAGCUUUGUGAGUGGAGCAUGUAGGUUGAGGUAGUGUUCCCUUUAAUUUCCCGAGUGAGGAAAACUUCUCGGUUGGAGACUUGGAAAAUCCAAGUCACUGAGUGGGAUCGGCUAUAUGAAUCUUAGAACGCCAUUGUGUUCUGUCUGUGUGUCAUGUCCUCCGUUAGAUCCAAGUACUCUAAGUCUUUUCUUAGGGUCUCUUCCAAAGUUUUCCUAGGUCUUCCCUCUACCCCUUCGGCCCUGAACCUCUGUCCCAUAGUCGCAUCUUCUAAUCGGAGCGUCAGUAGGCCUUCUUUGCACAUGUCCAAACCACCGUAACCGAUUUUCUCUCAUCUUUCCUUCAAUUUCGGCUACUCCUACUUUACCCCGGAUAUCCUCAUUCCUAAUCUUAUCCUUUCUCGUGUGCCCACACAUCCAACGAAGCAUCCUCAUCUCCGCUACACCCAUUUUGUGUACGUGUUGAUGCUUCACCGCCCAACAUUCUGUGCCAUACAGCAUCGCCGGCCUUAUUGCCGUCCUAUAAAAUUUUCCCUUGAGCUUCAGUGGCAUACGGCGGUCACACAACACGCCGGAUGCACUCUUCCACUUCAUCCAUCCAGCUUGUAUUCUAUGGUUGAGAUCUCCAUCUAAUUCUCCGUUCUUUUGCAAGAUAGAUCCUAGGUAACGAAAACGGUCGCUCUUUGGUAUUUCUUGAUCUCCGAUCCUCACCCCUAACUCGUUUUGGCCUCCAUUUGCACUGAACUUGCACUCCAUAUAUUCUGUCUUUGAUCGGCUUAGGCGAAGACCUUUAGAUUCCAACACUUCUCUCCAAAGGUUAAGCUUUGCAUUUACCCCUUCCUGAGUUUCAUCUAUCAACACUAUAUCGUCUGCGAAAAGCAUACACCAAGGAAUAUCAUCUUGAAUAUGUCCUGUUAACUCAUCCAUUACCAACGCAAAAAGGUAAGGACUUAAGGAUGAGCCUUGAUGUAAUCCUACAGUUAUGGGAAAGCUUUCGGUUUGUCCUUCAUGAGUUCUUACGGCAGUCUUUGCUCCUUCAUACAUAUCCUGUAUAGCUUGGAUAUAUGCUACUCGUACUCCUUUCUUCUCUAAAAUCCUCCAAAGAAUGUCUCUUGGGACCCUAUCAUACGCUUUUUCCAAAUCUAUAAAGACCAUGUGUAAAUCCUUUUUCCCAUCUCUAUAUCUUCCAUCAAUCUUCGUAAGAGAUAGAUUGCCUCCAUGGUUGAGCGCCCUGGCAUGAACCCGAAUUGGUUGUCCGAAACCCGUGUCUCUUGCCUCAAUCUAUGCUCAAUGACUCUCUCCCAGAGCUUCAUUGUAUGACUCAUUAGCUUAAUACCCCUAUAGUUCAUGCAAUUUUGUACAUCGCCCUUAUUCUUGUAGAUAGGCACCAAAGUGCUCGUUCGCCACUCAUUUGGCAUCUUCUUCGUUUUCAAAAUCCUAUUGAAAAGGUCAGUGAGCCAUGUUAUACCUGUCUCUCCCAAAACUUUCCACACUUCGAUUGGUAUAUCGUCUGGGCCUACUGCUUUUCUAUGCUUCAUCUUCUUCAAAGCUACAACCACUUCUUCCUUCCGGAUUCUACGAUAAAAAGAGUAGUUUCUACACUCUUCUGAGUUACUCAACUCCCCUAAAGAAGCACUCCUUUCAUGUCCUUCAUUGAAAAGAUUAUGAAAAUAACCUUUCCAUCUGUCUUUAACCGCGUUCUCUGUAGCAAGAACCUUUCCAUCCUCAUCCUUGAUGCACCUCACUUGGUUUAGGUCCCUUGUCUUCUUUUCCCUUGCUCUAGCUAGUUUAUAGAUAUCCAACUCUCCUUCUUUGGUAUCUAGUCGUUUAUACAUAUCGUCAUAAGCCGCUAACUUAGCUUCUCUCACAGCUUUCUUCGCCUCUUGCUUCGCUUUUCUAUACCUUUCACCAUUUUCAUCGGUCCUAUCCUUGUAUAAGGCUUUACAACAUUCCUUCUUAGCCUUCACCUUUGUUUGUACCUCCUCAUUCCACCACCAAGAUUCCUUUUGGUGUGGGGCAAAGCCCUUGGACUCUCCUAAUACCUCUUUUGCUACUUUUCGGAUACAACUAGCCAUGGAAUCCCACAUUUGGUUAGCUUCCCCCUCUCUAUCCACACACACACUGGGUGAUUACUUUCUCUUUGAAAAUGGCUUGUUUUUCUUCUUUUAGAUUCCACCAUCUAGUCCUUGGGCACUUCCAAGUCUUGUUCUUUUUUCUCACUCUUUUGAUAUGUACAUCCAUCACCAACAAGCGAUGUUGAUUAGCCACGCUCUCUCCUGGUAUAACUUUGCAAUCCUUACAAGUUAUACGAUCCCCUUUCCUCAUUAGAAGAAAAUCUAUUUGUGUUUUUGACGACCCACUCUUGUAGGUGAUCACAUGUUCUUCUCUCUUCUUAAAGAAGGUGUUGGCUAAGAAGAGAUCAUAUGCCAUUGCAAAAUCCAAGAUAGCUUCCCCAUCCUCGUUUCUCUCCCCAAAACCAUGGCCACCAUGAAAACCUCCAUAGUUGCCUGUCUCCCUGCCCACGUGUCCAUUUAAAUCUCCUCCUAUAAAUAACUUCUCCGUCUGAGCAAUUCCUUGCACCAAGUCUCCAAGGUCUUCCCAAAAUUUCUCCUUCGAACUCGUAUCCAACCCUACUUGAGGUGCGUACGCACUAAUCACAUUGAUAAGUUCUUGUCCUAUUACAAUCUUGAUUGCCAUGAUUCUAUCUCCUACCCUCUUGACAUCUACAACAUCUUGUGUCAAGGUCUUGUCCACGAUGAUGCCAACACCGUUUCUCGUUCUAUUUGUGCCCGAAUACCAUAGUUUAAACCCUGAGUUUUCUAGAUCCUUUGCCUUACGACCAACCCACUUAGUUUCUUGUAGGCACAUAAUAUUUAUCCUUCUCCUCACCAUAACUUCUACUACUUCCAUAGAUUUUCCCGUCAAGGUUCCUAUAUUCCACGUUCCUAAACGCAUUUUGCUCUCUUGAACUCUACCCUUCUGUCCUAGCUUCUUCACCCUUCCCCGUCUAAUAGGAUCAAAGUACUUCUUUUGUGUGUCCCGUGUAAAGUUGAUAGGAGCAUAUGCUCCCAAACAACUUUGAGUGGAGUCGUUCGAAAAGAAGUUUCUAUAGCCCCCUUGCUCAUUUAACACUGCAUCCGGGUGCCGAUGGAGAUACAGCGACCCUUGCUCACUUAUCACUGUGCUCGGGCCACACAGCGCGCCACUUACGGGUGACGCCCUAGCUUUAGCGCGAUUUCGUUCUGGAUUCAUUUUCAUAAGGAUUCGACGUAAUCAUGGAGUGCCGGCUGUCGACUACCUGACGCCCUCCCCCUCCUCCUUUAUCCGGGCUUGGGACCGGCAAUGUAAGAUAAACUUACACGGCGGAGUUAAUGAAUACAUAAGAUACAUACACUAAAAGAUAAGAUAGCUUAUAUGCCAUGGGAAGGUUACAAUUUUGAAGAUGCGGUACUCAUUAGUGAGCAUCUGGUAUAUGGAGAUAUUUAUACUUCUUUUCAUAUACGGAAAUAUGAAAUUCAGACUCAUGUAACAAGCAAUGGCCCUGAAAGAAUCACUAACGAAAUACAGCAUCUAGAAGCCCAUUUACUUUGCAAUUUAGACAAAAAUGGAAUUGUGAGGUUGGGAUAUUGGGUAAAGACAUGUGAUAUUUUAGUAGGCAAAUUAACACCUCAAAUGGCGAAAGAAUCGUUGUAUGCUCCGGCAGAUAGAUUAUUACGAGCCAUACUUGGCAUUCAUGUAUCCACUUCAAAGGAAACUUGUCUAAAAUCGAAACUUAAUAAGGGAUGAAGGAAAAAACCUAUAUACAUACAUAUAGUAUUGAAAUACUAUCUCAAAAUGAUUAAUGACGACCCAAAUCUGUAUUUUUUUUAUAUUUAUAUGAAAAAUGAAAGACUUGUUGUGAAUCAAUUAAAAAUUGAAAAAAGAAGUGAAUAUUCAUUGAUCAAAUCAUUCACUCCACCGUAGUCUAAUAGAUCUUUUUAAUAAUUGAUUAAUCGGACGAGAAUAAAGAUAGAGUCCCAUUAUACAUGUUAAUAUCGACAACAAUGAAAUUUAUAGUAAGAGGAAAAUCCAUUGACUUUAGAAAUCGUGAUGGUUCAAGUCCUUCUAUCCCCAAAACGACCUGGUUGACUCCGUAACCUUCAUUAUUUGUAAAAGUUCUUUACUUGGGAGGUUGGAAUAUAUCUAUUCCGGACAUAUAUGUUUCUGAGCUUUUUGAAAUAAAUAAAACAUGUCUUUUGUGAACAGAGACAUCUUUCUUUGUAUCAUUUUCAAAAAAAGUUAUUAAACUGGUUGGGUACGUAAAAGAUAUUCUUUUUUUUUCCAUCACUUUGACAUGUAGAAAAAAAUAUAUUGUGACAUUUCAUUUCUUAUAGACUUUUCAAAUCGACUGUUUUUAUAUAUCGCAACAGACAAUUCCAAUGUUUAUAGUCGAAAAGAAUAGUCACAAUAGGUUUUUCAAACCAGAAGAUAUCUCAUUGUUUUAAUAUUUCUAACUUUGAAUUUUCUUGUUCUUGAUUCCUAUCCAGAUAGUAAGUUUCAUAAACGGGUCUUUUUUAUACCGUGUUUCAUUAAAGUGGAAUUGAUCCAUUGUUUUUUCCUUUCAAUUCACUCGGAUCUCUUUCAUUUCAUCAAUUUUUUCCGUGUCCACCUUUUCUUCCGAAAAAAGGGAAGGGGAAGGAUCUUCUUCAGUGGAUCCCUCUUGUUCCUGUUUAGUCCCCUUCGUUUCAGAAGUUGUUUCUAUUUCUACAUCUGUUUCUUCCUCACUUCCCCCUUUCACCGCUCCUUAUAUUAGCAUUGUUGUUAGUGGCUUUGAUCUCUUGAGUUGGUGGAAAUCAAACACAAAGAGUUCCCAAUUCUUUCACAAAUAGCCAAGGAUAUCUUUGCAAUCUCCACUUCUACUGUUGCUAGUGAAAAUGCAUUUAGCCUAGGAAGAAGGUUGUGGACCCUUUUAGGGCAUCUUUGACUCCUAGAAUGGUAGAGGCACUAGUGUGUACUAGUCAUUGACUUAGGACAGAUGAAGUAAACUUCUACAAUGAACCAAUGAAGAUAUGCUUCAAUUUUACAAGGAAAUAGAAGUGGAAACAAGUAAUCUAUGCUUAAUUUUUCUAGUAAAUUUGUUAUUAAAUGGUUUUCAACGUUAAUUCUUCUUGCUAUUAAUAUGUUUUCUUUGUUUGUAAUGUAGGCUUGACACAAGCUCAAUCUUCUACAAGUUCAAUGUCUCCUCCAAAAGUUUCGACAUCUCAAACUUGAAGAAUUGAUCAAUGGAGUUUACUUUUUGAAAUUUAGUUCUAAUUUUCAUUUGGUUUGAAACUUUAACUUCUAUUUGUUUUGGUUCAUAACUUUUAUUUGGAUUGUAAGCUUAAUUUUCAUCAUGAAUCUUGAUGCAUCAUUUGAAUUAUUGUGUGUGUGAAUUGUGAAUGAUGAAUAAUAGAUGAAUUUAGGCUACAAUGUAUGAGAUAAAGGUACAAAAAAAAGUUUUGCACUUGAAUUGAGUUAAAAAAAAAAAAAAAAAGAUUUUGUCCCAAAACAAAGUGGCAAUUACCAUUGCCAUACCAUCCCAACCGAACUUCGGUAUACUAAAAGAUUGGUACAGUAAUGGUAAUAGAUUUUGUCACACCGAAAGUUUGGUAUGAUAAUUGGUAUGAGAGUUUUGGUAUGGUAAUUGUACUGAACCCACCUAUAGAUGGAAGUGUUUAAUUUCUGAAGUAAAAUGUGACGUUGAGGGUUUUUCUUCAAUUAGUACUGCUUGUUGCAAGUAGUUCCCGAUGUUUUGGUGUUCUUGAAUUGGACUCCUUUUGAUGGAAGGGAUUCUCUCUAGAUCCCUUCCACCAAAUCCAUCUCAUCAAUCAAUUUGUACAUUUGAAAUUUGAUUCAACGGUUAAGAAUAAGGAACCCCUUUAAAAGUUAUAGUAACUUUAGCCAUUAGAUUAAAUUUCAAGGGCUUGGAUUGAUUGAUGAGGUGGAUUUGGUGGAAGAGAUCCAGAGAAGAUCCCUUUCCUCUUUUGACAGUUAAGUAGUCAAACUUCUACUCAUUUGAGUACUUUAAAUAUAUUCCUGGUUUCUUGAAAUGAUUUUGUUUGGGAUAAAAUCUGAACUUUGGGCCAGAGAGAAAGUCGGCCCAAACCCAAGGCCCAGAGGAAAACUUAGGAGGCAGGAAAGAGGCUUUCGGCUGGGCACAAGUUACAAAGGCCACCUGCUUACCUGCUCAAAGACCACAGGGGGUAGGUUAUUCAGUCACUACACAGCCCAAUAAAGUACUUUAUUGGUGGCAUUCAUGUAAAAAAGCUAGUGAGUCAUCACCAAACCGCAUUCGGGCACCGCUAUUGCUACAGGAACCCAAGCUGAAGUCGUCUAUAAAAGGAGGAAGAGAAGACAGAAUUAGAGACACUCAAACAAACAAACAAAAGCCAAAACUCUGCUCAAGCCAGAUUUGCCUUCAACGAAGCUGUAGUCAGCACAAGCCUUCAUCCCAUUCGAGAUAAACCUUCCCAAACCCCUGUAAUAGCUCUGCUACCUUGUUCAUGGUGGUAUCGAUUCAUUUUGUAUCCUCUUCUCCCCCGUCAACCCCUCUAAAAGCUUUCAGACCUCUGACAGAGCCACAAAGAUAGAUUUUGUAAGAAGUUCAGCCUUGGCCGAUAAGGUUCAAACUUACCCGACUAUCUUUGCUCUGUCUUUGUCUUUUCUUUCUUUUAAAAGCACAAUAACAUGUUAUAUAUUCCCAGUUAUAUACAAGUUAUUUCUAGCAAAGUCAUAAUGAAAAUGAGUCUUCAGCACUUGAAUCCGAUCUGAAUCGCGUCAGAGUUCAAAUCAGAUCUAAGUCUUAAGCCCGGCGGGCAUGUAAUUUAAAGAUCAGUUUAAAAGUCCUUGGCCUCAAGGCAUAAAAAAGAACUCUAUUGUGGACUCAACCCAUCCACGACAAUCCUUGAUAAGCGAGAGAAGUCCGAAGUUACUUGGGGCGCAAGUAAUCAAUCUAUUUCUCCGUUUUGUUGCUAUUAUAUCUUGAUUCGUAGAAAAGGCUUAAGCAUGGAGUGAAUUCUGAUAGAAAGCCUCAAGGCCUACACCUAAGGCCCCACGAAGGCAUCUAUUUAGCUUCAUUUCAUGUUGCGGUCUAGUUGGUCCGAGUAUAAGGAUUAACUCUGAUGGGAAGCCUCAAGGCCUAUACCUAAGGCCCUACAAAAGGCACUCAUUUGGGUUCGUCCUACCUCUUGGAUUCAGAUAAUCAAAGGGUAUAAUAGUGAUAAAACUCUGGCAACCAUAAAAGACCAAAUAUGAUACAUCCAAGCGCUGGUUUAGUUUGACAGGAAGCCUCAAGGCCUAUACCUAAGGCCCCACAAAGGCACCUGUUAUAUCUAACUUGGUUUUCUCGGGCGUAUACAUAUUCAAUCAAAGCUUAACACCCAUUCAACAUCUGCCAUACUGAAGAUGGCAGUGGCACGCCUGAGCACGACAAAGUUAAUCUUGAUUGUGAGCCUUAAGGCCUACACCUAAGGCCCCACAAAGGCACCAUUUCAAAUUAACUCUGUCCUUCUCUUUCAGAACUGCCCGACGAGCCUUGCCCGAAAUGUGUCUUGCCCGACCAAGAUCUGCCCGACAAAGGCUUGCCCGAGCGAGCCCGAGAAGAAAGCAGAAGUACGACAGAUACCAUCAACCGACGCCAUUCUCCCAGGGGAGCUGUGUGCUCGUCCGCCAGGAGAUUCCUGCGACGAACAUAGUUUUGGCACGCCCGGUGGGAUCCUCUGAUCUGAAGAUAAAGAUAAACAUGCCAGAAGAUUUACAGUAUACAUUGUUUCAAAUGCUACAGAGACUGAAUGAAGCCUCCCUAGGCUCUAGAAAUGAGACAGGUUUGGCUCCUCCCAAAGGAGAAAGACACAGGACUACCCAACCAGAUGAGGUAGUCAUAGUCAACCCUGUGUUGCCCUUUUCUGAAGCCCCGGUAAACAUGCUCAACAUGACCUGGGCAGAGAAAGGAAAAGGGAAAAUUAUAAGGGAAGAAGAAGAAGGGAAACUAGCCAAACGACCUACGGAAGGGAUAGGCAAACCAUCCGAGUACCCAAAGGCUGCCAUAAUCAAAGGGAUGGUUAUGUGUAGUAAAUGCCAGUGUGAAUGUGAACUCGAGAUUCCCCCAGCUGGAGUCCUUAUUGAUCACGAGUUAAUUAAAAGAGAAGCCCGCGAAAGGCUUAAGCAGGCAACAAGAAAAAAUACUUCCCGAAGCGUUUUUUCAACGUUUAGGAGGUGAUUCCCAACCCAAGGCGUUGUCAGAAGUAUUUCGAAACUAUGAAGUUUCUGACGAGUUUCGAAACUAUGAAGUUUCUGACGAGGCAGAGGACAUGGAAGCCAAACUCCAAAGAAGUACAGAGCAGCUUCAAAAUGGCCAAAAGGGGAAGGAAGUCAGAAGAACUGAUGGGAUAGCUAAUCCUGUUAAGAAAGCAACUCCUGCAUAUCGUGGGCGGAAAUGGUAUGUAGUUGGAAAAGAUGGGCAGCCCACCAGACCAAUGGGAGCAUCCAUGGUCAGAAGGGUUCAAAGGCAGCACAAAGCCUACAUGAAUUCCCUGAUGACCCCCAUCACCUCUGAAGCCUCAAAAAAUCAAAAGCCAGAGAGGGCAACAUCUGGAAGUAGUAGUCAGCUUCGUUGGCGAAGUAAGAAGGAAGUAGAAAGGGCCAACGGCAAGACGUAGGGUAUGGGGAAUCAUGUGCCACAAAGCCAACAUCCUGGCAAGUAUAGGAUCUUAAGAAGGGCUCAGGAAGAUCUGACUAUGAUGCCAACACCUGGUUGGAGGCCAGGGCCCACCCAUGAGGAAACUGUUGCAUCUGAGAGGAGACCAACCUUUUUGCCUUUGGAUCCGUUUGGUGAAGUUCCAAAGCAAGCGCUGUACGGAGACAUGAAUCAACCACAACAGGAAGGGAUACCAGAGCCCUUACUACCAGCCGAUGCAAUGGCUUGGUUAGACGAGUUCAUGGAUCACAUUGGGAGCAAGAAGGAGGACUUGCUCGAACCCAGCAACUUCAACAUCAACAUGACGUAUGUAUUAUCCGCCAUGUUUGGCGCCAGGCCUGACCAGCCCGCUACCAUGGAAGGUGAUUAUUUAACAACUGAGCCGAUGAUGGCUCACGUCAAUGUGGAGGUAGUUACAGAGGAAGACUCAGGCAAGGUUGAAUCCUCAAAAGUACCUAAAGGUGGUCCCCUACGGAUUUACACAGAUAAAAUGGUGUUCAGCCGCCCAAGUAUUUCGUUGGCCAACCACCUGAAGCCUAUAUACGUUUCAGCUCAUCUGGAAGGUGUACCUUUCAAAAGAAUUUUGAUUGAUGGAGGAGCGGCUGUUAACAUAUUGCCAGCCAAGCAGAUGAAGAGGAUGGGGAGAAGCACUGAAGAUCUUAUUCCCACAAAACCUUACAGUCUCGAGCUUUUCAGGUGCCAUCACCAGGACUCAUGGGAUAUUACCUUUGGAGGUAGAUCUGGGGUCCAAGAAAAUAAUGUUGGCGUUCUUUGUAGUAGACUGCACUUCCACUUACGGGGCCCUACUUGGAAGAGAUUGGAUUCAUCAAAGUUUAGCCAUACCUUCUACUCUUCAUCAACAAGUGGCUGUAUACCACGAGGCAAGUACUGAAGGAUCAAGCUUUUGGGAGUUGGUAGAGGCCGAAUCACGGCCGUUCCUCCCCUCAGCUAAUGUUGCAGAAGCAAAUUUCUACAAUCCCAACGUGGGAAUUUUGAAAUGUUUAGGAGCUGAUGAGAACGGCCGCCCUACCAAGGUGACGGCCCGAAAGCUUCUAGAACAAGGGAUGCUCCUUACCAAGGAGGAGUGGGAGAGACCCUGUCUUAUACCAAACUCUCUAUACCAUCAAUGAUCGAACAAAAGAAGAAAGAUCAGGUCAUGGCAGUCAGAUCCCUGAUUAAAAGACUGUUGGUGUAUGGAAAGGGAAGAAGACAGGAAGAAAAGCUCUUGGAUAAAUAAGAGCAGGAGUGGCAGGGGAAAGUUUCUACCAGCCAGUAGGAAAAUGAGGAAGAAUCUUGCACAGAGGAGUUAGAUAAGGCCAUUUAAAUGGCCGAAUGCGUCUACGAUAUAGACGAGCCAGACGGUCUGCCCGAGAACCCGGAGUUAGUUGAAUUUUUGUGUGCAGAACCUGAUAAGCCACCUCCAGAAGUCCAGGAUCCAUUGGAAGUUAUUGAUCUAGGCACAGAAGAGGAUCCGAGACCAAUUCAAAUCAGCGGUUUAUUAAGGAUUGAGGAUCGGGCCAAGAUUAUCUCUCUUUUGCAAGAAUUCAAAGAUUGUUUUGCUUGGCAUUACACCGAGAUGCCAGGAUUAGACCCAGCCUUGGUGGAACAUAGAAUGCCCAUCAGGGAAGGAUAUAAACCUGUCAAGCAGGCACCACGAAGGAUGUCAAAGGAGAUAGAAGAAAAAGUCAAAGAAGAAAUUGAAAGGCUGGUGAAAGCUGGCUUUAUUAGACCAGCCAAAUAUGUAGAGUGGCUAGCCAACAUUGUACCCGUUUUUAAAAGCUAUAACAAAAGCAGUACGGUGUUGUGUUGAUUAUAGGAAUAUUAAUAGCGCCACACCAAAGGAUGAAUAUCCUAUGCCCAUGGCUGACUUAUCCAUAGAUGCUGUAGCAAAGCAUAAAGUUUUAUCGUUUAUGGAUGGAAAUGCCGGUUACAAUCAAAUAAAGAUGGCGCCAGAGGAUAUUCAUAAGACAGCUUUUAGAUGUCCUGGUCAUGUGGGGGCAUAUGAAUAUCUGGUCAUGCCAUUCGGGCUCAAAAAUGCAGGCGCCACGUAUCAAAGGGCAAUGAAUGCCAUUUUUCAUGAUUUAAUUGGCCAAAGCAUGGAGGUGUAUAUCGAUGACAUUGUGGUGAAAUCUAAGACAGAAGAGCAGCAUCUCGUGGACCUCAAGCAAGCAUUGAUGAGGAUGCGGAUCCACAAGUUGAAGAUGAAUCCAAAGAAAUGCGCUUUUGGAGUAAGAGCGGGCAAUUUUUUGGGAUUCUUGGUGCAUCAGAGAGGUGUGGAGGUGGACAAAAAUAAGUCUCGAGCAAUAUUAGAGUCACUUCCACCUACCAACAAAGUACAGCUUCAGAGAUUGCUAGGUAAAAUCAACUUCUUAAGGAGAUUCAUUGCCAAUUUGGCGGGCAAAAUCCAGCCACUAACUCCGCUACUGAGAUUGAAGGAUAGGGAGAAUUUUGAGUGGGGGCCAACCCACCAGCAGGCAUUUGAUAGCAUCAAGGCUUACUUAACUUCCCCACCAGUGCUGGUGCCACCUCAAAGGGGAAAGCCAUUGAAACUAUAUAUUUCUGCAUCGGAAAGAUCAAUUGGGAGUCUACUAGCCCAGAAUAAUGAAGGAGGAAAAGAGCAGGUUGUGUAUUACCUCAGCAGAAUUCUGACCGAGGUAGAAACAAGAUAUUCUCCGGUGGAAAAACUGUGUUUGGCUCUAUAUUUUACUGCCAGCAAGCUAAGGCAUUACAUGCUACCUUGUCAUGUGCACAUUAUCGCCAAAACAGAUGUGAUAAAGUAUAUGUUGUCAAGACCUAUGCUAGCAGGGAGGAUUGGGAAGUGGAUUCUAGCAUUAUCAGAAUUCAGUUUUCAGUACAUACCCCAGAGGGCAGUCAAAGGCCAGGCAAUUGCUGACUUCCUGACCGAACAUCAGGAGUCUCAAAGCGAGGAAAUCAAUAUCCCGGGAAGUUUAGAAGUUGCUAAUGUAUGGAUCCCACCAAGAAGUGAUGUUUCGGGCAAAGAAGAUUGGAUCCAGCAAGAGAUAAGGAGAGUAGCAGGUCUUUGGAUUACACCUUGGAAGCUAUAUUUCGAUGGAUCCUACACUCAAAAGGCAGCAGGAGCUGGAAUUGUGAUUAUAUAAACCCUCAAGGGGUUUAUCAUUACUAUUCCUUCCUACUUGAUUAUCAAGAAAAUACCAAUAAUCGGGCGGAGUAUGAGGCAUUGAUUAUCGGCCUGGAAAUCCUGAUGGACUUGGGGGCAACUGAAGUAGAGAUCUUUGGUGAUUCAGAGUUAGUGAUAAAUCAACUAAAUGGCGAGUUCAAAUGCAGACAUAUCACUAUGGCAGGGUACUAUAUGGCAGCAACACAACUGCUGAGUUUGUGGGAGUCUGAGAUAUCAGUCAAUCACAUUCCUAGGGGAUCUAACUUGGCAGCCAAUGAAAUGGCGCAACUAGCUUCAGGAGUGCCUAUGCAAGAAAUGAAGUAUGGUGUUGAUGUUGAGAUCCAAACAAGAAACCUUCCCUCUAUCUUAGAUCGGAGGUUCAGUCUGGAUGUAAUGGUUCUAGUGACCGAGGUGGAAGAUUGGAUGACACCUAUUACUCAGUAUCUGAAAGAUCCUUCUUCACCCACAAGUAAGAAGAACAGGCAGCAAGCAACCAAGUAUGUCUUGUGGACAAAAAAUCUGUUGAGAAAGACCCCAGAUGGGUUGCUAUUAAAAUGCUUAGGCCUAGAGGAAUCCAUGAGAGUAAUGGCCGAAGUACAUGAGGGAAUAUGUGGAGCACAUCAAGCGGGAACAAAGAUGAGAUGGCUACUCAGAAGGUAUGGUUAUUUCUGGCCCGACAUGGAAAAAGAUUGUAAGUCCUAUGCCCGCGGAUGUGAAGAAUGUCAGAGACAUGGACCUCUCCAGCACGUACCAUCAGUACCUCUCAAUCCAGUGGUCAAGCCUUGGCCGUUCCGAGGAUGGGCAAUGGACUUCAUCGGGCAGAUUUAUCCGGCCUCUAGUAAGGGACAUACUUUCAUAAUUGUGGCAACGGAUUACUUCACCAAAUGGGUAGAAGCAUCGGCAGUAAAAUCCAUAACUUCAGCCGUGGUCAAGAAUUUUAUUGAGACCAAGAUCCUGCACAGGUAUGGGGUGCCUGAAACUAUAGUAACGGAUCGUGGGCCAUCUUUUAUUUCAAAGGAGGUUGAAGAGUUUGCAAGCAAGUACAAAAUAAAGAUGAUCCAAUCCAGUCCAUACUACCCUCAGUCAAAUGGGCAAGCAGAGGCUAUCAACAAGAUCUUGGUCAACAUUAUUAAAAGGAUGGUGAUUGAUAGUCCAGAAAGGUGGCAUGAGAUGCUAGGGAACACGUUGUGGGCAUACCGGACUUCUAAAAGAGCGGGGACAGGCACGACUCCUUAUGCCUUGACUUUCGGGCAAGAUGCAGUGCUUCCUAUGGAAAUCAACGUCAGUUCCGUAAGAAUUCAAAACCAAUUUGGGUUGCAUAGUGCAGAAUAUAUCGAAGCCAUGUGUCAAGGUAUUGAAGAUCUGGAUGCAGCCCGAAUUGAAGCCUUGAACCAGAUUCAAGAAGGAAAGAUUGCUGUUGCCCGAGCUUAUAACAAAAGGGAGAAGUUAAAGUCUUUCAAGGAAUGAGAUUUAGCGUGGAAAACGGUCCUCCCGCUAGGUGCUCAGCUGCGUGGCUUCGGGAAAUGGAGCCCGACAUGGGAAGGUCCUUUUAUUAUUAGUCGGGUUUUGAACAAAGGAGGAUAUUAUCUAGCAGACCUCGAAGGCAAUGAGCAGAAACACCCUAUUAAUGCAAAAUUCUUGAAGAAAUAUUGUCUUACAUUAUGGGAUGUUAGGGAUUGCUAUAUCGAAGAGGGAGCAGAGUGAGACGGACCUUAGAAAUUCACAUACGGUAUUUUGUUCAUCCAAACAUUUAAAGAAGGCAGAGAUGCAGAAAUAGAUAAAAAUACUUAUUUCAUGUCGACAAAUUGAUGAGAUUACAAGAUACCAAAUCUUAUGUAUUACAUUUGAUCCUAUCUGAAAGUGUUGGUGUCUUCAACUGGUUUCCCGCUAUCUUCUUGGUUGAAACCCAAUCAGGUGAUUGGGUUGUGCGGCCAACAUGAGCUUGGUAGAGGACCCUCCCACAAGAUCUUCACCAUGUAUGAUGAUGAAGCCCGACUUAUCACCACAAGUUGUGGGAAGAUCAGUCAUCAAGAGGAGACCGCCUGACCAAGGGUGUUGGAGGUAGAGGGGUGAUCGACCAAAGGUGUUGGAGGUAGCAAUCAUCAGGUGAAAACUUUCUUUUUUUUCUCACGAAAGGGGAGUUUCAGGAAACUCCACUCAAAACCUGAGGAACCCAUUUCUCAGUGGGGAGACGGAAGGAUUCAAGGUGGAUGAAGGGUGAAGACCAAAAUGAAGAAGAUGUGAUGAUUUGAAAAGGGUUUCCAAAGCCAGAAUUUAUAGAGAACCAGAAGGCAGUUUAAAGGUCGCAAGAAGCUCAAAGGGCACGCAUGUUGUUAUUCAUUUAAUGUUGGCGCUUGGGAUCCCAACCUUAACAUCAAUUGAAGGGGGCACUGUUUGGGAUAAAAUCUGAACUUUGGGCCAGAGAGAAAGUCGGCCCAAACCCAAGGCCCAGAGGAAAACUUAGGAGGCAGGAAAGAGGCUUUCGGCUGGGCACAAGUUACAAAGGCCACCUGCUUACCUGCUCAAAGACCACAGGGGGUAGGUUAUUCAGUCACUACACAGCCCAAUAAAGUACUUUAUUGGUGGCAUUCAUGUAAAAAAGCUAGUGAGUCAUCACCAAACCGCAUUCGGGCACCGCUAUUGCUAUAGGAACCCAAGCUGAAGUCGUCUAUAAAAGGAGGAAGAGAAGACAGAAUUAGAGACACUCAAACAAACAAACAAAAGCCAAAACUCUGCUCAAGCCAGAUUUGCCUUCAACGAAGCUGUAGUCAGCACAAGCCUUCAUCCCAUUCGGGAUAAACCUUCCCAAACCCCUGUAAUAGCUCUGCUACCUUGUUCAUGGUGGUAUCGAUUCAUUUUGUAUCCUCUUCUCCCCCGUCAACCCCUCUAAAAGCUUUCAGACAUCUGACAGAGCCACAAAGAUAGAUUUUGUAAGAAGUUCAGCCUUGGCCGAUAAGGUUCAAACUUACCCGACUAUCUUUGCUCUGUCUUUGUCUUUUCUUUCUUUUAAAAGCACAAUAACAUGUUAUAUAUUCCCAGUUAUAUACAAGUUAUUUCUAGCAAAGUCAUAAUGAAAAUGAGUCUUCAGCACUUGAAUCCGAUCUGAAUCGCGUCAGAGUUCAAAUCAGAUCUAAGUCUUAAGCCCGGCGGGCAUGUAAUUUAAAGAUCAGUUUAAAAGUCCUUGGCCUCAAGGCAUAAAAAAGAACUCUAUGUGGACUCAACCCAUCCACGACAAUCCUUGAUAAGCGAGAAGUCCGAAGUUACUUGGGGCGCAAGUAAUCAAUCUAUUUCUCCGUUUUGUUGCUAUUAUAUCUUGAUUCGUAGAAAAGGCUUAAGCAUGGAGUGAAUUCUGAUAGAAAGCCUCAAGGCCUACACCUAAGGCCCCACGAAGGCAUCUAUUUAGCUUCAUUUCAUGUUGCGGUCUAGUUGGUCCGAGUAUAAGGAUUAACUCUGAUGGGAAGCCUCAAGGCCUAUACCUAAGGCCCUACAAAGGCACUCAUUUGGGUUCGUCCUACCUCUUGGAUUCAGAUAAUCAAAGGUAUAAUAGUGAUAAAACUCUGGCAACCAUAAAAGACCAAAUAUGAUACAUCCAAGCGCUGGUUUAGUUUGACAGGAAGCCUCAAGGCCUAUACCUAAGGCCCCACAAAGGCACCUGUUAUAUCUAACUUGGUUUCUCGGGCGUAUACAUAUUCAAUCAAAGCUUAACACCCAUUCAACAUCUGCCAUACUGAAGAUGGCAGUGGCACGCCUGAGCACGACAAAGUUAAUCUUGAUUGUGAGCCUUAAGGCCUACACCUAAGGCCCCACAAAGGCACCCUUUCAAAUUAACUCUGUCCUUCUCUUUCAGAACUGCCCGACGAGCCUUGCCCGAAGUGUGUCUUGCCCGACCAAGAUCUGCCCGACAAAGGCUUGCCCGAGCGAGCCCGAGAAGAAAGCAGAAGUACGACAUAUACCCUCAACCGACGCCAUUCUCCCAGGGGAGCUGUGUGCUCGUCCGCCAGGAGAUUCCUGCGACGAACAGAUUUAUACUCGUAAUGUAUGAUUAUCUUAUACCCAUGGCUAUAUACGUUGUAGUGACCUCGAUGUGCCUCGACUCUUCUGAGUAUCAACAAAGAUUAUGUCAUGUCAGUUACAAGUGAAAAGUAUCUCGAGGAUUCGCCUCUUUAAAACAAAGUUUCAAUUAUCGAAAAGGUUGCUAGCAAGCAACGCAAGUUUACAUCCGACAUGUAUGUUAUCACUUGUAGAAAACUUCAAACAUGAAUAUGAAUGUUUGCAAACGUACAUUUAAGGAAUUAAACACUUAUGAUUAAAAUUAAAAACCGUAAUUAAGCACUUAAUAAACAAAAGAAAUUAUUUACAAACUACAAAUCCGAUAAGACUUAAAUCUCAAAAUUCCAAGUACAAUCUAAUCAUAAUUUGUAUGCCUACAACUUAAUAUAUCACAAAAUAUAUUUACUUCUUGAUGCCAUCUGCAUGAAUUACAGCUACUGAAUUUAUCAUGGUCAUCGAAAUCCCAUCCUUGUUUGAUUGUGUACGGACCUUGUGGAUCUCCACAGUCGUUGCAUGCUUUCAUGGCAGCGUUCUCAUCGUGCGCUUCUACAAUUCUACCUAUUACUUCCCUAUUAACCCACAUUGUGUUCCAAAUCAAUUCCUUAAUCCUCUCUCGGCAUUCUGUCACGCUUAACCCUCUCGAUUUGUGGCAGUUGAGUGAGUACAGAAGCUCGAGUCCUUUCUGCCUUGAAUCGCCCCCGCAACACACCAAGAUCGCUCCGUACACGUAUGUUGCUUCUACGUGACCCUUUGAGGCCGCCCUCUUCAGAGACUCGAUCCCCGCAGGUUCUAUCCUCUUGCUUGUGAAGAGGUCGCACAUCCCUUGCCUGUACAAGGCCUCCGCAUUGCCAAGAUCCCUGCACCGCUUCAGAAACCUCGUGCGUUUUUCACUUGCGCGCCAAGAAACCAGCGGGAACUUGCUAAUGUCGACAUGCUCGAAUAUGUGAUCAUCUUGAGCACUUUCGUUGAAAUUCUUGCAACUUAACUUGGCUGAAUAAAGAUCAUCAAAAGAGCGUGAAGCGACCCUUGCGAGUACUUGGACCAGAACCUCGUUCGGAAGAGAUUGUAUGGACAAUGAGGCGUUUCGAGGUUUCUUCUUCUUCUUGAUCUUGUGAUAGGCGUUGUUGACGAUGCCUGAAAUAAGAACAAAAGACCGAACCAUGGAGAACUUGGGAAGGAGAAGACGAAAUCAGUUUGCUUUGCUGCCGGUACAAGAAGCAAUUAUAUAAUGUUAAGCGCGAUUAUAUAUAGUCAAACAGAUGCGGUCUUCAUCCCUGUAGGAAGAGGACAAGAAACAACCGAAGCCAAACCGGAAUUGGAUUUGUUACUAAUAUUACUUGGAUUUGUUAUUAACAACCGGUUAACUUGUCUAAAAAGGGAUUUAGAUUUCUUUCAUGCUAAUACAGAAUCUUUUGCCCUACUACUAACUAACUAAGAAAAAUUACUGCAUAGCGAAGUAUGUUGUAUAUGGCAAAAAAGAAAUACGGGGUCGGAUUUCAACAUUAUAGUGUUUGGAUGCUCAAUAUCGCAAAAUAUUUCAAAUUCAAGUCGCUGUGAACCAAUAUGAAUUAAUGGGCUAAACUGCGUCACACUUCAACACCAACAUACUUUACAAGUAGAGUUGUAAACGGGUCGGGUUUAUUGGGUUUGGGUCGGGUUGAACCCGACCCAUUAAGCUAACGGGUCAUCUGAACCCAACCCGUUAAGCUUAACGGGUCACCCAAACCCAACCUGUUAAGUUAACAUGUCACCCGUUUCAACCCGUUUCACCCGUUAACCUUUUUUUUUUUUUUUUUACACAUUUCAUCCAAAUCAAUUACACCCGUUCUUAGCAUCCUAGUGCUUGUGCUAGCCACCUCCUUCCUUCAUUCGGUUUGUGUGCAUAUGCAAGUCAUUGAGUGAUUUGAUGAACACCUGGAGCUUUAUUACGAUGCACAAGAAUACAAACAAUAAUUAAACGUUCCAUCGAAAAAUUGAUAAAUAAAUUCGAAUGCCACUUAUAAUAGUUUCAUUCUCCACACACACAAAAGGUCCUAUACCAAAAUUACAUUUUAUUUUGGAACCUGGAAAACCAACUCCCUUUCAAUAUUUCAGAAAAAUUGGGAAAAUUCAUACUUCGAAACUAAAACGAACCCAAAUCGAAACAUUUAUGGCUAACAUUUUGACAAAUUCAAAGCGAGCAGUUGGGAAGGGGAAAGAAGCUCCCUUUAAGCUCAUACAUAACAAAUGAGACUGCAAUUUAACAUAUUUACGACAAAACAAAUCAACCCGUAUUAGCAAAUAAUGGAACCUCAUUGAUUCAUACGCAAAAUGGCCUACAAAAUCCAGAAAACAAUAAGGGUCUACCGAAAAUUGCAACAAUCUUCCAUAAGAACUCUAAAGCAAAGAAAUGAGAGAUAGAGAGAGACUUACCUGAUAUUAGAAAUAACAUGAACUGAUUAGCAGAAACGUCGAAGAUGAAGGUUUUGUAGGGAGAGGGAGAGAGAGAGAGAGGAGCGAGAGAGAGGUGGGGAAGAAAUGGAAAAGGAGCCAUGGGGUUAAAGUUUUGAAGAACGUUGGGAGGAAUUGCCAGUACCGACGGCAAUGGCAACACUUGCGGAGAGCAAAGCCGUGUGACGACGGUGCGAGAGAGAGAGACGUGAGGAACCUGAGGGUUUUCUAUUAGAACAGUUGAAAUUACACAAAAGUCCUCCAUAACGGGUCUUAACGGGUUUCGCGGGUUCACCCAAAAUGACCUGUUAUUUAACGGGUUGACCCGUUAACCACCCGACCCGUUUAUCACCCACCCGAAUGCUAAUUUUAACGGGUUGGGUCGGGUCGGGUUAACGAGUCGGGUGAAAAAUGCCAGGUCUAUUUAUAAGUAAUAGACUUUUAUAGAUGUAUCGAGUUAGCUAAAAGGUAUAUAAAAAAGAAUUAGUUUAAAAAAAUAACUACACGUUAAUCUUGUAAGCAAAGCUUGUCUAAUUAUUUUGUGUUGAUCGACCUUUGAUAUGACAAAUACAUAUAAAAAUAAACAGAAAAGGCUAACAAAUUGUAAAACCUUUUGAAAUAGAUAAAAUUCAUACAUAAAAUAAUUCAAAAACUGAAACAUCCAAUGAGUUGCCUUGGAAAAGAAUUAAAGGUACCAUUAACGUAAGUAAUUAUUGUCAAGGUAAAAUUUAGUUAUUUAGGAAAUAAAUGUAAUAGCUAGUGACGUAAAUAAAUAAAAAAGAUACAUGAGCUAAUGGUGAGAUGCAUCUAAAAUAGAUAGAUUUUUUUUUUUUUUUUGAUCAAAAGAUGGAAAUUUGUUAAAUUUAAGUGCGAACAGUUACAUUUGCAUUUUCUUUUAAAAUAUUAAAAAAAAACUUCAAACCUAACUCAUUUCAAUCAAAACUCCCGCCAUACUUAGCUAUGUGUGCAUCCACCAAAUGAGAUGCACGAUUGCAUGGCCAAGCGUAAAGCAAAACUUCACCAACUAGAACAAGCUUGUCAUCCUCCAAAUAUCGUGGAAAUAAAGAUGAAGUGCCAUAUCAGCCCUGAGCUCCUUGUUAAUCAUUUGGAUCAACCCCUUUUGAGUCCGCCAUAACAUCACUAGCAAUAAUAAUUAAUCUCCAUCCCUUGCCUAAUCGCCUCAGCCUCCGCCAUGAUAACAGUACCAAAACAUGGCAGCGGCGGCGGCUCAGUUUCCAAGUCGGCAUGAAGCUCCAAUCCACCGCCACAUUGCUAUCCUUAUCUAAAGUCAGUUGCUUUUCACUUCACACUCUUCAAUCCUUUCCUUUCUGGUCUGUUUGUUUCCUGAGAAAAACCUGCAAGAAAAUAAAUGCAAUCCCUAAUUGGAUUCCAGCUUGCUUUGCCGUUUGAAAGGGCGAUGAUGGACGAGCGCUUUGGUAGUAUUCAGGCGUCAUCGCCGUUGCCGAUUCCGGCAUCAAAUUCGUAGCCGAAGAUGAGCGGUCCAACCGUCCAAAGACGGCAUAGUAAGUAAUCAAAUUGUUGAUAAGUGGAUAUUAUUGUUCUUUAAUCUUCAAAUGUUUGCUAAGAAAAUAAAAAAUUCAUGUUUUUUUAUUGGUGUUUCACUCAAAUUAGGUUUUCCACUACGGUUUCGUUGAGAAUUCCGGCGAGGAAGCAGAGGCGAAAUUCGAGAAAGGGAAAGAGGGUGGUGUUGUGUGUGGAUGAGUCUAGCACAAGCUGAUUACGCAUAUACUCGAAGAAAUCGACUCAUUUGAUUGUUUAAGUUUAUCUUUUAAGUUGCUGUGCUUGUUCUUUGAUUAAACUAUUAUUGUACGACCAAUUCCAAGUUCGAUUUUCGGCCAAAAAACUCCGAAGCUCAUUUGCUUACUCGUUGUUUCAUAUUUCAUAUUUUGAUGAUUCUGGAAUUGUUCUUGUGCAGGCUUCGCUCGGCCGGGCGUUUGCUGGAUACAUACAUGUAUGGGGUAUGACUUAUUUCUGCUUUAUUGCUUUAAAGCAAGGUUAGAAAGUGUAGGCAUCUUUCUUGUUGCAAAAUCUUCUGUUAUUAUCAGGGAACUAAACGAUUAGUCGACAUUGCAAGAACCUUCUUUUUAUUUGUGUCCUCAAUCCUCCUUCCUUGGCGAUUCAGUUUCUUUGUUAUGCAAUUUAUAACUAAGAAGUUCCUAGUUGUUUCAAAAUAAAAUAAAACGGAAAAGCACGAUCACUCUCAAUUUAGAUAUGGUACAAGUGAGCUGUCCAAGAAAUUUUCCACAUAACAGCACAACAAUGAUCCGCCCUUUUGAUUGUAGUAAGUAUAACAGCCCACUCUUACUUCAACUUUCCACGAGUCAACCUAUUUGUGGCAAACAGCACAAUGAUCGUUCCCCUUGAGCUUUAAAGUGAAAACUUAAUACCAUUUCUGUAAGUUAACACUAGAAACUUUUAUAUUGUUGAUGCGUGAAUUUGGAUCGAUAUAUCAUAUAUUUAGACGGCCAAAUAACAGUCACACAUGUAAACACAAGGAUUUGAGUGUAGCCUAGCCCACACCCACCGAAUUGGCUUGGGCAGCAGCUGCCUUAGUAGACCUUCAAACCUUCUCCAUAAAGUCUCCGGUAUGUUAUGUGGUCCUUGUGGAAAGGGUUGUGUCUCCCGAAAUAAGCCACCAAAUAGAUAAGCCAUACAAAAGAACCAGCAGUGGCAUAAGUGGUUACACAUGCUUCAGAUUGGAGCAACAUAUCCUUCACCAGUUUUUCUCAAAUUCAUAUGAGUUCAUUACCGGCCUUAGUAUUCUGAGAUGUGAACAAUUUUUGCUCUUUUAUAGACAUGAUGUUGUUGUUCGCAUAUCCUUAUGAUUUAGUACUUAUAAAUUUAUAAUGUACUUAUUUCCAGGCCAUAUGUGCAAAUAUAAAAGCACGGUUCCACAAAAAGAUAUAGCAAGUAAGCAAAAGGAGUUGGACGUACAAGCUAAUGCAUUAAUAUCAAGAGGAGGAAAAGUGAGUUGCAAUAUUUAUCUGAUCUGAAGUUGCAUGCUUGAUAUGGUAUGUUAGAUCUAAUACGUUACCAUAUUUUUCUUAGGUUUCUGCUGCCUUGUUACCAUUUGAAGAAGCGUGUAAGCCGUGUGGUGAUUGCCUUCCCGAUUAUAUUGCAAAGGUUAUUCUGUACCUGUUCAAAAUACCUUCUCAUAUCGGACCCUUAAAAUUUUAGUGCUUAAAAUAGUCCAGUACUAACUAUGAACCACAAUUAUUUUAUUUAUUUAUUUGUAAGUUAAAUAUUUUAAAUUUAUCUCUCGCCAAUACGAGUUUUAACCAAAUUAUUAUGACUGACUCAUUACUUAAUAUAAAUAUCUCGUUGUAUUCAAUGAAUAAAUAAAGGAUCUUUGACACAUCUUACAGACCAUGAAAGAAUACAAAGCAAAUUAAGCGAGUAGGCGUUGCCCCUUCCUCUCUUAGUCCAGUCAACAAGGCAUCCAUCGAAGCCAAGAAUGCUACAUAUUUAUGCCAAAUGAAAUUCCACAUCACUUCCAACCUUUUAGAUCAAUCUUUUUCAUCUGCAAGAUAUUUGUGGAACAUAUAGUUAUUUUGAAUAUUUUGGAUUAAUCUAGCUCUUUUAUGUACAAUAUUAUAAUAUUAUGGGAAGGAGGAAUUAACAACGAUGUCAUACAUGUGCAUGGACUUGAACUUGCUGAAAUCCUUGGGGAGAGAGAUGAGAUGGACGGUGGAUCGUUUGUGGAACUGAAGAAGGUCCGGAUCGUCGUAGUAUCGCUCCCAACCGAGCGUGGACAGCUUGCAUUCGAGCACGGCGUAAGAACUGAUGACCUCGUCAGUUGGAGUGUGGACGAGCACCUUACGCGCCCGGGCGUUGGAGCCUUGCAAGGAAUUCGCCCCGUCCACCAACCGGACGACGCCAUUAUUGAAAACCCAAACCCCAGACAUGUUUGGUGAUCAGAAGGUUAAACGACUAAGUAGGCAAAAGCUCAUAGGGAGGAGUGAGAAUAUGUUGUUUGUAUGAGUUUGGGAUGUAGAGUAUGUGUAUUUAUAGGUAAAAUGAAGUGUCGUGAGGUUAAAUUUUGGAGAGAUGAAAUUAUAUAUGGGCAUGUUUGGAUGUGGGUAUAGUAGUGUAGGCUCCACUUGAUUGUGGGGGAGUCUUUGUAAGGGAACCGGAUUCCCUCCGGAUCCAAAGGAACUGAGCUCAAUAAUCAAAUGAUCCGGGCUAUUAAAAAUUCAUUCAACGGCUACAAUUAUUAUAACUUUUAGUGGACCCUCUGUUUGUAACUGUUGAAUCAAAUUUUAAUGGCCCGGAUCAUUUGAUGAGUGAGCUCAAUUCCUUUGGAUCGGUUCCCUUUGUAAGGAUACAAUAAGGAUCAUGGUGUUUGGUACAUGCAGCCAUGGACCAGUAGCAAUCACCUAUCUAAGCGUGGGCAUUUCAUAUAUCCGAUAGGAGAAUCCUUGUGUUUUAUUUCUUUAAUUUUUUUUCCUCCCUAUGGCUUUAACCCCACAUUGGGAAUCUUUGUUUUGCUUGUGGAAAAAUAUUAGGAUGGAGACUUAUUCUCGAGAAAGCUUAUUAGCAAGCUAUACCGAUAUAAUAGAAAAUGAUCAUGAUUUGAACAUUUUGGCUUUGUGGGCAUAAAUACAUGGAGAUAUCAAUAUUUGUAUUAAAUACCAAGUUGAGCAUAUGUUUUAAGAAUGUUGUUCCAGACCGCCUUGCCAAUUUGAGUUAUAAUAUGAAUCUUGGAUGCAAUUAUUUUGAAAAUUCAUGUAAAUGAUUUGGACGCAUUUAUUUGAUUAUAUGAUCGAAGUCUCUAGGACUCGAAUUGUUUGUAAUAAUUUAUUGAGUUAGUUUUGGGUUAUAUACCACCUUAUGUUGCCAAAAAAAAAAAAACGUGUUUGUACCAUACUUGAUCAAUCCCGAAACUACUGAGCACCGGUCAAUGUUAUACCGUCAAGGACCCAGAAGAGUUUCCCUCCAACUAGGAGGUCAAUCACAGCGCGACACGUGUCGACAUCAGAAGCCAAUUACAACACGACACGUGUCAAUGUCAGGAUGAAACUAAAAACUCUCUUCUAUAAAUAGAGAUCAUUCUCUUACAAUAUUGCUUAAUGUCAUUUGUACUAAAUCAUUCACUAGUACUCACUAAAGGAGAGCUUGAACUUAUGUACUUGUGCAAACCCUUCACAAUUAAUGAGAACUCCUCUACUCUGUGGACGUAGCCAAUCUGGGUACAUCUUGUGUUUGCUUCCCUGUCCCUAUCCAUUUACAUAUUUAUCCACACCAGUGACCGGAGCAAUCUAGCGAAGGUCACAAACUUAACAUUUUCUGUUGUACUAAAAUUCUCGCUAAUUUUGUGCAUCAACACAUUGAAACAAAAAAAAAAAACAAACCUAUAACUAAAUGAAGGACAUGGAAGAUUACCAUCUUAUCCUCGAGAGCAUAUUUUUUUUUUCGAUUUUAUAAGGUCCCUUAUAGUCCAUAGUUGAUUAUGAGGGUUUAGGGUUUUAGAAGUUGCAUCAUUUGUGUUUAGGGUUUAGAAUGUUCUUAGGAGGACCUUAGGGCUUGGGGUGUAUGUCUCAGGUUUUGGGCGGAGCCCAAAAUCUAAGAACUAGACUCUACGCCCUAAGAGAUCAACGUAGUCAAAAUUUUUUUCCGCUUAUGCAUGCAUAUUUGUCCGAACUCAUUGGGAAGGUUAAUGGCUAUGGCCUUAUGAUGGUAGGGUUGGACAGUAUUGUCAAUUACACUAGCAAAUUUAGUUUGACUUUUCAACUAGUACGUAAACUGAAAAUACGGUUUUCUAGCUUAAAAUUCUUUUGAAUUUUGUAUUUAAACUAAAAGCUUCUUAUUUUGUACGGGGAUCGGCUAAACGCGAUUGGAUGUUGAUGAGUUUUGAGGGAGAGUUCACGCAUGGUGUUAUAUUCACGUGGCUAUGUAAGCUACCUCAUAUAUCUUUAAGUGGAAUAUUUUGAAUUUAGGUAUCAAAUUCACUUUGUGACACUUAUAUUCCAUUUUCAAAGACAUUGAAUGAUUUGAUGCUUUCUUGUCAAAUUUGUGUACCUGAUUGGUAAUUUGGAUUAUUGCAUAUUAAUCGGUCAGUUCAUAGUCUAACAAGAUAAACAUCUAACUAAUGUUAUUAUAGACAAUACAAUAAAAGUAUAUAUUUAUAGUUGAACUGAAUUGUCACAUCCAUAUACUUGAAAGGUUUGAUUUUAUAUACGUAUUUGAAAUAUCACCUCAGAUAGAAUAAUAGAGGGAAGUGUCUCUCGGUUCAAUAUAUUGGAGUUGGAUGACCAUGGAUCAAAACUUCUUUAAGAGGAAGAAUUUGAGAUGCUCAAGGCAUUGUGUCUUUUUCCAAAUAUGUGAAUGGUCGUGGCAAAGAUAUGAGGUGAAGGAUGGGACAAAAUGAAAAGGAUACUAAAUUCUAGUUGUUGGAGAGAGGGAUAUUUGGGAGUACCAUGGUGAUUCACUUUCUGUAGAAAGAUGACCAAUACGAAUCCCCCCAGCCCCCAAUGCAUGCAGUACACUUAUCUGCCUAACUGUUGACUACUUGCCUCAUUAAUUUGCCUCCAAGUUUUAUGUUAUUCCAUUGAAAAACAUUAAAUAAAGUCCUUAUAUUUACGAUCUUGAUGCAUUGCAAGCAAACUUAAGUGAAAUUAUUACUAGGUUAGCAUUGUGUGUUAGACGAGCCUCUUCUUAGUAGGAAUUCAGUUUUACUGUAGCAAAAACGGGACGAUAGUAUCACUAAAGAAAAAAGGAGACGAAAAAAAAGUAUAUAAGAGGUCAUAUAUAGUAAGUACGUACAUGUUCCCAAUGAUAGUUCCAUCUCUAUUCUAUUUUUGUUACAAUAAACACAAUUCAUGUUGAGAAGUUGAUAUAUAAGCAAGGUUCUAAAAGACGCUAGCCGUUAGUCGGGCGGUGAGCUGGGGCCUAGCGCCUAGGAGGACUAGACGAAUUUAAGUAAAUCUAUUAUAUUUCGUGUAAAUAAGUGUCUGUUUAUACUUAAAAUGUAUAUACUUUCAUUAUAAACUACAAAAUAGAAUGACACAUAUAUUAAGAAGUAUUGGAACAUAAUGAAAACAUGAGGAUGUGUAUUCAUUUAAGUAUUCAACAAGUCUCUUACAACUUAUUGAAAAAAAUAAAAUGCAAAAUGAAAGUUGUCUAUUUUCUGUCUGAGUGAGUCGCAACCUAGGCGGGUGUGGGCAGACAGGUGCUAGGUGGUCUAGGGGGGGCACCUAAGCAGGUCUAGGCACCAUUUCUUAAUUUUCAAACGCUUGGGCAUUAAUCGAGACGGUGGUCAACCGCCUAGCGCCUAGGCAAGGAUUUUUAGAACAAUGUAUAUAAGGUUAGCAUUCUAGAUAUAUGAACAAGUACAAAGAGACACCCCUACAGUUUUUGGCAUUUUCUAUUUUGGCUAGGUACUUAGCUAGGGUUAUUUGUCUUAGGGGACUAACCCAAUAACUUGGAAACUGGAAAUUUCCGAAAAGCUAGGCAGUGAAGAAUCCAUCUGAUUUGGGAAAAAAGUCGGUAAAACUUUCAAAACCUGUUAGCUGAUGGUGAGUAUAUCCAGUGUGUAUUUAAACCGUGCUUGUCAAAAACUCUGGUCUUGUCCUAAUUCUUUCAUCAAAACUGGCAUCAUUAUGCCGUCCACUAUUGACAGCACUGGAGGAUGUCUUUGUUCCGGGAGGAGGAAACGGAGAGUUACUUAACGUGGUUAUAUUAUUCCUUUCGGACCCCUCUGUGGAUGGUUCAAUGCUUGAUAGAAUCCGCUUGAGCUGAGGGCGCUGGCAGAGUAUUCGACCAUUGUUCCAUUUUGGGAAAGAAAAGGAUGCUGGCAUACUAUCCUGCAGAAAUGUAUAAGCAGCCUUUGCAAUCGGUAGUUCUUGUGAUAUGGAGCUUUUCUCCAUCUUCUCUCGUCUGAUCAAAUAAAAAACACAUCACCCGUAGUCAGACAAGGUGAAGUAUGCAAUACCAAUGACAAAGUUACGAAAACCCUAAAUUCGAUUUGUAUUUCCUAAAUAUAGCCUUUCACGUUUUUUUUAUUCUCACCUACCUAGACCAUAUAAAUCCUAGCCAACCCAGACCAUAUAAUCCCUAAGCAAGUUUUGAUCAAGUAGGCUUUUAGAAGAAGAACAUCAGAAAAGAAAUUGUACAAAGGAAAGAGCAGCUUACAAUACGACGACAGUUGCAAGAUGGGGUAGAUCCUCGCCAUUGAGGAACAUCUCAUACAUAUUGUUUAGCCAAACUGACAUUGCUGUAUAUGCACCACCUUGCCACAUCCUGCAAAAUGGUCAACGUCAAGACUGAAAUAAAGCUAAGUAAGAGAAAGAACAUGGCUAGAAAGAGACAAAUUCUCCAAUACCUGUGCACAUCAACAAACGCCACAAGUUUAUUUUUACGAAAAAGUUCAGGAAAAAGUUCUUGCAUGGUGUUAUAUUUGCUUGGCUAUGGAAGCUACCUCAUAUACCUUUAAGUGGAAUAUUUUGAAUUUAGGUAUCAAUUCACUUUGUGACGCUUAUAUUCCAUUUUCAACGAUAUUGAAUGAUUUGAUGCUCUUUUGUCAGACUUGUAUAACCACCGGAUUGGUAAUUUGUAUUAUUGCAUAUUGAUCGAUCAAUUUAUAGUCUAACAAAAUAAAUAUCUAACUAAUGUCAUUAUAGACAAUACAAUAAGAGUAUAUAUUUAUAGUUGAACUGAAUUAUCACAUCCAUAUACAUGAAGGGUCUGAUUUUAUAUACGUAUUUGAAAAAUCAUCUCAAGUAGAAUAAUAGAGGGAAGUGUCUCUCCGUUUCAAUAUAUUGGAGUUGGAUGACCAUGGAUUAAAACUUCUUUAUGAGGAAGAAUUUCAGAUGCUCAAGGCAUUGUGUCUUCCAAAUAUGUGAAUGGUCGUGGCAAAGAUAUGAGCUGUGAAGGAUGGGACCAAAUGAAAACGAUUCUAAAUUCUAGUUGUUGGAGAGAGGUGAUAGAGAUUUUUACCACCCAAACUUAAAUCACACAUUGUUCUCAAGGUGUGAAAAUAGGAGAAAAGUAAAAAUAAACUAAAACAUCAAAAUAAAAAUAAACAACCACCUUAUAUUACAUAAAAAAAUAGUCAUUACUGACGAAGAAGCACAUAUUUUAUGGUUGCAAAAGUGCAUUUCCAACGAAACUUGAGCAUUUCCGUUUUAAAAAACACAUUUUGAGACCAUAAAAUAUGGGUCGUCGGAAACAUGCCAUGAAACAAAUUUUUAUUACCAACUCCCAUAAUGCCUUUGGAAAAAGGCUCAAGUUACGUCCGAAAUGCACUUUUGUUUGGCGGGAAAAAUUGGCUCCAGUUGUAUUAAUGACGAGUAAAGUUCUUAUCAGAAAUAGAAUGAUUAUUUCUGAAGGUUCAUGUUGACAAAAUUGAUUUAGUAUUUUCGAGGGAAAAAAAGUCUUCCCGGUAAUGUUUUAAUGUUUUGAGGGAAAAAAGUCAUUUUGGUAAUGCUUUUAUAUUUUUGAGGGUGAUUAGUUGUUGUCGGAAGUAAUCAUAUUUUUUCUGACAAAUUUUUUUCAACAAACACUUGGAGUUUAUUUUAUACUUCCAUUAAGUAGAACAAAAUAUCCACUAGUGCAAAUAUUUUUAAUUGAAGAUUGAAUUCGUUCAUUGUACUCUUAUAGGGUUGAGGAGUGUAUUUGUAAAAAAUCAUCAAAAUACGAGUUAAAAUAACCGUUAAAUCGUGAGUUUUCGUUUAUAACCGUCGAAAGGUUUCGUCUCGUUACCUAAUAUCUGAAUGUCCGAUUUUUGCAAUUUUUUACAUAUGUGAUCUUAGAGCAUUUACAAAUAACUUUGAUGGUUGAAUCGUUGAAACUAGUUUUGUAGAAUGUGUAUUCCUUCAAAACGAUAGAUUCAACAAACACUUGGAGUUUAUUUUAUACUUCCAUUAAGUAGGUAUCCACUUGUGCAAAUAUUUUAAAUUGAAGAUCGAAUUCAUUCAUCAUACUCUUGUAGGGUUGAGGAGUGUAUUUGUAAAAAAUCAUCAAAAUCGGAGUUAAAAUAACUGUUAAAUCGUGAGUUUUUGUUUAUAACCGUUGAAAGGUUUCGUCCCGUUGCCUAAUAUCCAAAUGUCUGUUUUUUGCAAUUUUUUACGUAUGCGAUCUUGGAGCAUAUACAAACGAGUUUGACGGUUAGAUCGUUGGAACUAAUUUUGUAGAAUGUGUUUCCUUCAAAAUGAUAGAUUCAACAAACAUUUUGAGUUUAUUUUAUACUUUCAUUAAGUAGAACAUAAUAUUUUGUGGUAUCCACUAGUGCAAAUAUUUUAAAUUGAAGAUCAAAUUCAUUCAUUGUACUCUUGUAGGGUCGAGCUUGAUAUUACGAGCGAUUAUAUAUAUAUAAAUAUAUAUGUUUUUUUUUUUACAUUCUACAACAAUAGUUAAAUUUUAAUCUAUGGUUUAUGAGAUUAUAGUAACAAAUUUCGGAAUUGACCUCUUCUCAAAAGUUGUCGAAGUUAAUAUUACGAGCGUUUGCAUAUUUUUUUGUACUUCUACAUUAAUUAAAAAACUAUUAAAAUCUUAACUACAAUAAUAGCUAUAAGAUUUAAUCUUAUAUAUGUGAGAUUAAAUCCUUAUCGCUGUUCUAAAAAUCCCCGCCUAGCGCCGCCUAGGCGUUAGACGGCUGGCCACCGCCCCGAUUAAUGCCUAGGCGUUUGAAAAUUAAAAAAGGACGCCUAGACCUGCUAAGGCGUUCGCCUAGACCGCCUAGGCACCCACCUAUUUUGCCCAAACCCGUCUAGGUCACGACUCACUUAAACAAAAAAUAGAUAAUUUUCAUUUUGCAUUUUAUUUUUUUUCAAUAAAUUGUAAGAGAAUUGUUGCAUACUUAAAUGAACACACAUUAUAUCAUUGUUCCACAUAUUUUCAUUAUGUUCAACACUUCAUAAUAUAUGUCACUCUAUUUUGUGGUUUAUGAUGAAAUUAUAUAUAUUUAAAGUAUAUGCAGACACUUAUUUAUAUGAAAUAUAAUAGAUUUACUUAAAUCCACCUAGUCCGCCUAGGCGCUAGGCCCCAGCCCGCCGCCCAACUAGCACCUAGCAUCUGUUAGAACCUUGAUCCUUACCGUUGAAUUUAAUCUAGCAAUUAAAUCAUAAAAGUGUUUUUGUUAUGGUGCCCAAAAACUAAACCAUAUUUCCAAAGAGAACGCCAUUUAGCGCUCUCUCCUCAUUUUCAUUUCUCUCUCACAACUUCUCUGCCUUUCUUUUUUCAGAAACAAAACCCUAGCCUUCAUCCUUCAUUUCUCAAAAUCUCUCGUAGCUUCUCUCUCUCCAUCGCUUUGUCGCAAUCCAUGGUCUCCUCUCCAUGUCGCUUGCUGCCCACCACCGAAAAUUCAAGAACCCAAGAGAUCCAUUCCAACAAAACUCAAAUCCACACCUAAUCCUCAUCUCGCAGACUCACGAGACCACCGUUUUCCGGCCAAUGUUCUAAGGUUGAAUAUGUUUCAUAUUUUUAUCAUUUUUCUUUAUAAAUUUGGAUUUGAAUUUGCAGGUACUUGCCUCUAAUAGCCAUCCACAUGCACAUCUGUACUCCACCACCUAUAAUUUGGGUAAACUUUAGUUCUAACUUUUCUAGAUUGAUAUGUAUUUGUCUCUUCAAAACUGCCAUCAAAAGCUUUGUUUAUGGAGCAAAUUUCCCCAAUUUCGUUGAAAACCUUAUAAAUUCAGCCUUGGUUUUGCCAUUAUUUUCACCUCCGAUGCUCACUCCAUUGAUUCAUCUGUCCAUUGCCCAGCAAGCCCUGGUAAGGGUUUUUAGGAAGGCAGCGUUAGACAACGCAUAUGAAGCAGAAAAAGGUAAUAGUGGCGGAGACGGCUCGGUGUGUGCUUGGGAAAUGAGGCAAGAUUGUGGAGAAGAUUAGCCAGGAGAGUGGAGCCCACUUUAGGAUUUUUCCCAUAGACCAGAUUCCGCCAUGUGCAUCCCCUACAGAUGAGUUGAUUCAGAUAAAGAAUGCUUCUUUUUUUUUCGGUUCAGUUGCUUUCGUUUACUUGCAUUGGAGAUGAUAGAAAUGUUGGUACUUUGUAAUUGUGUGCUUUUUAGGUAGCUUAUUUCAAAGUUAUUGGUUUAGUAUCUUUAUAUAUGCAGAAAUGAAUUUCUUUGAGUGAUUAGACUCGUCAUGUCUGCAUAAUGACUUGGUGUGAUGUGUAAGUCCCACCGAAGUUCUUCUGAAUACAAUGAUGUAUAUUCGUGCUUAGACCUAAAUGUUAGCGAGUGCUCUUCAUAUCUUAUUACAAAUAUGCAUAAAUGAGGAAGACCACAUUAUGAAUUUUCGCUAAAACUACAGAGACAUGAUUUCCAUUACUAGACGUUUUCAUCCAGGCAAAGAUGGUAGGACUUUAACUCAAAACAUGCCCAAGGGCAAAGAAAAGGGUUAAUAAAUACAAACAGGACAAUGAUUGUUAACAUUACGAGGGAAGCAUGCUUCAUCUACUGUGGGGAUGCAAAUAACAUGUUUUGGUUUUGUUGUGCUAGUGCAUUACUCAUGGCUAUAUUCCUGUUUGUUUGAUAUGCAAAUAACAGAAGACUUUUCAAUUGUGAAGAAAGCACUUUUAUUUGUUUCAGGUUGUCUUUAGGAUAACCCUAAGGUAGAUGUAGCUAACUCUGGUGCUACCAAAAUUUUAGGGGGAUCGAGUCACGGAACUGGUAUACCUGCGCAAGUUGACCCUAUUGCUCAUUGGGGCUUUGGGCCUGGCUUUAAUGCAUCAGAUUAUCACUCAAGGAAUUAUUCUUCUAAUCCUGAGCCUGAAAAUAUUGGAAGCGAUAACAUAAUGGCUAUGUUAUGUCAUGUUGAUAAGGUUGGUAGUCUGAUAGAGAAGGGUGGAAGCUCAGAGUACAACACUGGUGAGUACAUGCACGUCGAUUUGGAUGCUCUUCUCGACAUGUCCACUAAUGAGAUCGUCAAGCUCUUCCCCGCCAAAGCUCACAAAAGGUAAUAAACAAAUUUCUCGAUUCGAUUUAUUGGUUUGAUUUUUGGUUGAUUUAUGAAUUGGGUUUGAAUUGGAUAGCAUGUUGGAAUAUGUAAUGCAGUGUGUGGGUUAUAGUAUUAGAAUAUUUAAAGUAUGUGCUAGCUUUGUGGCUGGUUUUGGAUCUCAGCAUGUGUGUGGUUCAGUUUAACCUCUUUGUGAACUUGUGAUUUGGCAUAUACUUUAACUUCUCUGCUAACUUGUGAUUAUGGUUCAGUUUAUGUGAUAUAGUUGUCCUUAUAAUCCUGAAACUGUGAAACAUCAGAAUUGUUAAAUUGUGCAUAUAGUUUUACUUUCCUUAUAUUUUUUAGAUUAUUUGGAUUUAUGAGCAUUCUCUGAUCUUAGGGUGGUAAGAGAAAAAUUGAAGAAUGUAUUGGAGGUGUGUUUAAUUUUCACUUCAACUACUCGCAUUAUUUAUGGUAUAGAUUGGUGGUUGCUAUGCUCACACCUUGAGCUAAAAUUAUGCAAGGCUCUUCAUUAGAGCUUAUGCUUAUUUUUCAGAUUUUCAUUGUUUAGGUUUCUUACUAAUUGACAACUAUAUUGUGCUUGAUAUAAGUUAUCAAUUUUUUUUUGCAGAAUAAAGAUAAUAAUUGUGGAUCAAUGUUGGUAGCACUACAUUCAAACUCCUUGACAGUUGGUUAAAGUGGACAUGAAAAACUAGCAUUAUAAGACAUAUCAUAGGAUUGUAACAAGUACUUGCAAAAAUUUUACAUUAAUAUAACACAAUUCGUUCAAUAAAAAUUGGCAUUGAAAAUAUUAUUAAAUUAAAAAAAAAGUAUUUGUAUCCUUUUAUUUUUGCCGACAAAGUAGGAUCAACGGAAAUGUAUAAUUCCAAAGACUCUUGACCCUCACAAAUAUGUUUGUGCGUAUUUUUGACAGUUCUUAACUGUCAGUAAUCAUAGUUGCGACGAUUGUGCGCUCUUGUAAACAACAUUUUACUGUUGGAAACUCAUUUUUCGCCAUAAUGUUUUGGUCGUAAGAAAAUCAUUGCAAAAAAUAGAUGUCGUCGUUUGGAAAGUAUAUUCAACGACCAUACAAGUAUUUGCGACCACACAUACAUGUCGAAGAUAAAAUAAUUUUGUCAUUUUGAAAAAUCAAUUUCGACUAAAAGCUAACUAGUGACGACAAGCCACAAGCGUCGUAAAUGAACAUUUUCGACGGCUGGUAAAAAAAAAAAGUAUUUCCAAUGAAUCAAUGUGUGACGCCCAGAGAGGGCUUUUUCCCGUCGUAAAUAAGUAUUUGUGAUCGCAAAAUGCCUUUUCCGACGAAUUUUGACCCUCGCAAAUGACCAUUUAUUUUGUAGUAAUUGACUAGAAAAUAAAGGGAAUGAACACACCUGGGUUUAAAGACAGGACCUGGAGCUGAGCAACGGCACCAAUUUCUUGAUAAAGAAAUUGAAUGUCCUACAUUGAAAAUGUAUAAAAAGUAUCAAAAUCUCACAAAAUAACCAAUAAAUUAAUACUAAGAUUAGGGUAAAAUAUAUAGUAUAAUAUGGACUCAUCAAAUACCUCCAAACUUAGCUUUUUGCUUGUCCUCAAGCAAAACAAAACUAAAAAACAAAGAUAAAAACUAGCAAACUUAAAAACUUUAUGGGUAAAUUACACUUUCAUACCUCAGGUUUGGGGUCCAUUUCAACCUCAUACAACAACUUUAAAACAUUUCACUUUCAUACCUCAAGUACUAUUUUAUUUCAAUAUAAUACAUCCGUUAGAUUUUCCAUUCAUUAAUCCGUUAAAUGCUGACGUGGCUGCCACAUUUGUGCCAUGUGGCUGCCAUAUGUUUGCCACGUGGCAAAUAAAAUAUUUUUUUAAAAAACCUGAAUUUUCUCAACAAAAAAAAACCUCAGAUCUGCAAGAAGAAGAAUAAUAGGGAGGAAGAAAGAAAAAGAAAAAAAAAUUGUCCUCCCCCCUCCAGCGACCCAGAAGAAGAAGAAGAAGAAGAAGAGGGAGGAAGAAAAGAAAAAAAAAAAAAUUUGACCCUCCCCCCCCCACCCAGCGACCCAGAAGAAGAAGAGCCCCCCCCCCCAACCCCAACGACAAAGAAGAAGAAGAAGAAGACGAAGAGGGAGGAAGAAAAAGAAAAAAAAAAAUUUGUCCCUAACCCCACCCCCCCCCCCCCCCCCCCCCCCCCCAACCCCAGCGACAAAGAAGAAGAAGAAGAAGAAGAAGAAGAGGAAGAAGAAGAAAAAGAAGAAGAAGAAGAAAAAGAGGGAGGCAGAAAAGAAAAAAAAACCUAACCCCCCCCCCCCCCCAACCCGAGGGAGGCAGAAAAGAAAAAAAAACCUAACCCCCCCCCAACCCCAGCGACAAAGAAGAAAAAAAAAAGAGGGAGGAAGAAAAGAAAAAAAAAAUAAAUAAUAUUUUUUUUGGCCACGUGGCAGACAUUUGGCAGCCACGUCAGCAUUUAACAGAUUAAUAGAUGGAAAAUCUAACGGAUGUAUUAUAUUGAAAUAAAAUAGUACUUGAGGUAUGAAAGUGAAAUGUUUUAUAGUUGUUGUAUGGAGUUGUAAUAGACCUCAAAACCUGAGGGGUUACUGUGUAAUUUACCCAAACUUUAUUAAAACUCAACUAAGACAAAAUUUUUAUCUUCAAGUUGCAAUCAAUAGAAAACGUUAAAAACUAAAACAUCUUUCCAAAAGUUCCAACCAAUCCCACUAUAAAGUCUAAGCCAUUUAGAAACAAUUAGAAAAGAAUUCAUGAACUUCGUUUGGUGUAAAGUGAACUAACAUAGCUAGGGAGAUUCGACUAAAAUCCUUACCUUUCGUCCUCUUUAUUUAAGACUUCACACAUAAUAAUUUGGUAUAUAUAUUAUUAUUUUUUCGUUUUUUUUUCGAUUUUUUUUUAAAUUUUAUUUUUCUAGUAACAGUAGUGAUUUAACCCAUGUAACAAGCUUUAGGUCAAUGACUCCCAAACCACAAAGCUUUAGGGCACUAGGCGUAGAAUUAGUAUAUUAUUUGUCCUUGCUUUGUUUGUAUUGCCGUUUAAUUAGUAUAUGCGGAAAGAGACCCCCCAUCGACACUCCAUAUGCAUAGACAAGGAGAGCAGUUUGUUUCGCACGAACGAGUCAAAAGCGUCACCAUCCUCAUUUGGAUUUCCUGGUUUCAAGUUUCGAUUAAGAGUCGAAAAACUUAUCGGGCAGCUGGAAAUCGCCAAUGCCAUGCCUGUGGCGUGUACUAGGAGUUGUACUUGUGUGGUCCACAGUCCACAUCAGGAAAUGCUUGUAAAGCAUCGCUUCAAGUUUCACAAUCUUCCUGCAUUUUGGAUAAACUUACAAAAUCAUUGGAAAUGUACAAAAAUUUGGAUUACACUUUGUUUUUCAUUUGGGUGCUUAAAACUUUCGUUUUCAUUGACAAGCGAUAUGAUCAUAGAAAUUAUAUAAAUUAUUUUAAAUUACAAGAAUGAAAAUUCGAACUUGAAUAUCGAGACGUAGCACAUUGUUUUAAUUAGCUUGCCUCAACUCGUGUUUACGGUCAAAAAGUUUGUGUUGGUUCUUAUUUUAUUUGGAUUCAACUUUUCUUUUGGGUUAAACGUGGCUUCACGUUAGGGUUUUGACCCAAGUCAAGUCCACUGAAAAACGCGGAAGGUUGAUUGGGGAAGUUUGAAAGCCAUCUCUCAGUCAUUUGCUAUGAACAUCUGAUGACCUAUUGACUCGGCCAAAGUCGAUCAUCAGAUGGAGACAUUGGUCGACAUUAGCCAAGUGAGAAAAAUGAAAAAGCAAAGGACAAAAGUUACUUAUUUUAACAUGUCUUAUCCAAAUUAAUUGGAGUUGCGUUCUUAUUUCUCUGAAUCUAAAUCAAAUUUUUUUUUUCCCCCAGUUUAAAUGAAUUCUUUUUGUUUUGAUGAAAUAGUUUAAAUGAAUUUUAUGUGGACUAUUUUAUCCUUUGCUAACAAAAAAUUAACAUAUAAAUUUUAAAGAGAUUUGUGGUAUGUCCUGACUCUAAAAUGAGGUAGACUCCUCUUCCUUUAAACUUUUAUUAACCAAAACAAAUUAAUAUGAAGAUAAUAGAUUAUUUUCAGAUUAAGACUUUUAAAAGAGCUUUAUCCGCAAAAUUAAAUUAUGAAUUCGAAAAAUUAUAAUAACAUAUUAACAUAACAAAACACACUUGUAAUGUGGAUGUGAUCCGUGGGCUAGGCCAACUAAAACAUUAUAUGUCAAUAACAUGUUACUUACAAAAUGUAAGCUUAAUCAUGUUGGUUUGAGUAAUGUAUUUCUUUUUUUGCACUCAAAUUGGAAUUAUUAUCCUUGUAAUUCAGAUAAAUUUAGUGUAAUUUUUCAUAUAAAAAAAAACUAAACAUGUCACUUAUAGGUAAUGAGAAUUGAAAUUAUUAUGAUUCUUCAGCUUUGUUUUCUAUGAUAUGGGUUUUGAAAUCCUUAAAGUACUAGCUCUUCUUGGGUUUACUACACAUAGAAUUAGGACAAAAAAAUGUGGAUUUUUUUUGCUUAAAAAUCAUAAUCCAAUACAUGAAAUUCAUGAAUCAGAUCACCUAGGAAGUACCUAGUUGAUUAGACUUCUUUUCUUACUUACUUUAUUUCUAAAUUUUACAACUUAUUACUUUUUUCAUUCCUACUAAGUAAACAUGUUACAAGUAGAAAUAUAGUUGUCAAAUUUAUCAUUCCAAAUUACACUUUUGUACAAAGAACAUAUUUUAACACAUAAUUUGGCUAGUUUUGAUGACAUCGUUAAUCGAUGACAUAUACUACUUGUGUCAAAUACAAUAUGAGAAAUUUUAUUUGAACUCAUAUUACCUCUUUCUACACCCAACUUACUUUCUACACUUGUAUUAUUUUUAAUUAAAUACUUAAUAUCUCUUUAAACCCAAAUUUACUACCUAAACUAACCUCACAAACCCAAGUUAAAAUGUAAAUUUAUCUUUACACCCAUUUAGAAAAUAAAAUCUCAAAUUGAAUAAUUUGGUGAAGUUUCUUUAUGGGAAUUAUGAAAGCAUUUUGGAGUUCGACUUCUGUGGACAAGUAGAAUAAUUUGGUGAAGUUUCUACUUGUUUAUGAAUCUUCCAUAUACUAAUAAUAAUUUCUUUUUUAGUUUCCCCUCCAGAUUGUAUGGCCUGUUGUGUUUGUUGAGAAGACUAAGAGCUGGUUUGGUAUUGCUGUGCUUUGAAAAAAAGUUGCUGUGAGAAUAAGCGGCUGUGCUGUGAGAAUAAGCGGAUGUGAAAUAAAUCAGCAGAGUGUUUGGUAAACUUUUUUGUAAAAGUGCUUUUGGAAAAAAAAAAAGCAAUCUGAUAGUGUGUCUUUUCAUUAAAGGAGCACUGUAGCUCCGUGUGCUUUUAAAAAAAGCCAGUUUUCCAAAGCUGCAAAUAGCAGCUUCAGCUUUUUCCUUUGAUUUCAACUUAUUCUCACAGCAGCUUCCAAAAUAAGUUUUUUUUUUCAGUUUACCAAACACCUAAAACCCCCCACAGCUUUUUUUCAUAGGUGCUUUUUUAAGCACCUCACUCCCAAACCACCCCUAAAUGUGCAGCAAUGGCAAAAAAGUUAAAAACAAAGUUCAAAUUAAUUAAAAAUAUAUCCAGAAUGAAUAUUAGGGUUUUUUUUUUUCUUUCUGUCGAAUUUGAAAGAAUAUUAGGUUAAAAGGGUAAAAAUCCUUCAGCCUCCAUCCUCAUCUACUCAAUGUCAUUGCUACUCCUCUAUAAUACUGGACAAGGAUUGUCUGCCCUCCUAGUUGUGGUGCCCUUCCAUGCCCUCCUAUUUUGUGCGGUCACGGUUAAGCCACGUCAACAUUUUAUAUUAAUUUUUUAAUGAGAUAAUAAGACAAAAAAUAAUAAAAAUAUAAAAUAUUAACGUGGCUUAACCGUGACCGCACAAAAUAGGAGGGCAUGGAAGGGCACCACAACUAGGAGGGUAGACAAUCCUUGUCCCUGUAUACUUCUCCAUAUAUAUCUAGUAAAAAUGAGAAAACAGGAGGAAGAAAAUAAUAUUUGCCAAAACUGCAUGAAAGGACGAGAGAAACGUGGAAUUAUAAUAUUUGCCAAAAAUGCAUGACAGAGAUGAGGCAAGUAGUAUAUGCAUAAACCUUCAAGGAAACCAAAUUGGCAGGGGAAACCAAACUGCAUGAAAGAAUGAGCUGAAAUGAAGGUAGGAUAAACAUUGUAUGAUGACAGGAUUUAUUUUUUUGGAGUGGGUUUAUUGAUAAAUAUUAGUUUUAUUGUUAAUUACAUUUGUACUUGUUGGUAAUUAUGCAAUAGGGAAAAAAACAAUUCACAUUUAAAGUUUAAGUUUGAUGUAGAAAGAGGUUAUAUGGCUCCAAUUAAAAUUUCUCAUACAAUAUUAAUAGCACUAUGUGUCAACUUGCCCACAAAAUUCCUCCUCUAGGUGGGAAUUAUUAUUGCUAAUUAUCUGACCUUAUUUGGAAAUAUCUCUGAAUAUAUCCACUAAAAAAACUCUAUAACCAUGUUGCAAAACUCUCAACAAAUCUAAAGACAAAUCUUAACAAUGAAAAUUUUGAAAUUGAUUUUAAAAUAACUAAAAGUGUUUAUUAUGAAAAUAUUUUUGGUAAUUAACCAUCAGUAAAAAUACAAGUGAAUCUUCAUAAAGCACUUGAAGUUCUUCUUGCAAGAAAUCAGAAAGUAUUUAAGUGCUUUAGAAACUCAUAAAUAUUUUCUCUAAAAACGCUUUUAGUAUUUUAAAAACACUUUUAAAAUAUCCCUCUAAAAAAACCACAGCCGAAAUUAAAGUUUUGCAUCAAAGUUUCAUUUGCUUUGUGAAAAAAUCCAAUCAUGUUGUUAUAUUCUUGUUUGCACCAUAGCAAGACAUUUAUACACUGCAAGAUACAGAUCACACACCCCAUUAUUGCCUUCCAAAAAGUCACAUCCCGCAAAUACCCUUUACAACCCCUUACGCGUUUUCUGAAAUCUGGCUUUUUUAUUUUUUUAUCACAAUAAUUGUUGUGGCAUAUAUUCUUAUCAAUAUUGUGGUUGUGUAAAUCCUAAGUAGCGAUAGAAUAUGAAUCUUUUGGGAUCUAGAAGAUCUUUCCCAAUAGACUUUGUAUUAUUUGGAGAACAAGUUUUUCUCCUCCUUAUUACUAUAAAUAAAGGCAUAAGGACUGAGGAAUUAACACACAAUUCCUCAUACCUAUUCUCCACUCUCUUUCUCUCUACGCCGCAACCCUCAGUUAAAGAUAGGUCACAAUACGUUAUCAACACGCUGUGCUAAAAAGAAUUUAUUCGUCUUCAAUGAGGGGAGUAUUACGUUUCAAUUAUUUUAAUUGAUUAAAUUUUGAUUUUAUUGAAUUCAUAUACUUUUAUUGAUUCAAUUUAUUUUUCUUGUGUUAAACGUGAUACAAGUUUUGAAGAUGGAAAGUUGAAACCCGAAGAAAGAACUCCUACAAACCUGUUCACAAUAUUCAUCAGGCAAUCCAGGUUCUUUUAAAACAAUGAUAUUUUUUCAGCUUUGAUUGCAUGAACUUUCACCAUAAUGCAUGACCAAACUUUACGUUUUACGAAUUUUAGAUUCUAAAUCAAUUGUUUAUGCAUUAUAUCCAUAAUAUAUAAUAUAUAAAGCGAGAGCCCCACAUUGGGGUCACAGCUUCGACAAAAAACAAUAUGACAAAAUUGCCCCUCAACCAAAAAAAUCCAAAAGAAGCCCAAUAUAAUAUAUCAAAUAAUGCAUGGGUAAUUUGGUAAUUAUAAAAUAUAAUAUAAAUAUAAGUGGGAAGAGAGAAAAGAAUAAAAAAAAUGGAAGGAUGAGUGAAAGUUGAUAGUGCCCACAUGAAGGAAAAAGAAAAAUAUAAUAAAAAAUAAGAAAAAUCAUGAAUGUUGUGUUUAAAACAUCUUAAGAGGCGUGUAAUGCUGGUUAUAAAAAAAAAGGUCUUUCGGACGCGGAUAAUAAUAUGAUUAAAUAAGUUGUCAAAUGAUUUUUUUUUUAACAAACGAUAUUAUCUACACUAAGGGAAAUGAGGUGGGUUUAACCUCACAAUGUGCUAGCAAUAAUGUGAUUCAAUCAGUUGUUUAUUAAAUAUUAUUUUCUUUAUAAAAAAAGGUCUUUCGCACGGGGAUAUUAAUGUGAUUAAAUUAAUUGUCAAAUGAUUGUUUUUUUUUUUUUAACAAACGAUAUUAUCUACACUAAGGGGAGGGGGUGUGCUUAUCCUUACAAUGGACUAUCAAUAAUGUGAUUCAAUCAAUUGUUUAUUAAAUAUUAUUUUCUCUAUUCUUAAUGUAAAUUAUAUAGAAACCGAUUUUAUUAUGUGAAUUCAGCUGCUUUAAUUGGUUUAUAAGGGGUUUCUUUUAGCAUGAUAUAAAAUUAUUCAUUUACUUCAAAUAUUUGACUUUUCUUUUGUCAAUUUACGCACAUCAAUACAUUUAAAACAUGUAAGUCGUGCGUAGCACGCUGUGAUUCAAAAAAUGCAUUUUGUAAUCGCGUGAGCGCAUGCAUGAAGGCUAGUAUUGCUAUUAUGUGAAUUGAAUAUGUGUGAAUAAGUAAGAAAAAGAAAAAAAGGAAACCCUAGAACUCGACUAAGGCCUAGAAACAUGGAUAUAUAUAUAUAUAUGUUUCAAUUUGGGCCUAAUCUAUGGGUGCCCAGUGCUUGAGCAUUGAGCUCGCGUUGCACCUGUGUCUACACCAUGGCUUGAAGCCCACGACUGCACUAAGUCGCCAAGCAGCUCCUGGCCUCAGCGUACAAACUACGUCGUUCAUGGCGUUUUCAUCCUCUAGCCCCCUGCACCUCGACAUAAUUGAGGACUGCGCCCGCAACCACAACCAUCACCAAAUCUCGGUGAUUGCAGGACAAUGGUAAUGCCAGAAGUUGUCUACCACUGUCAAUCUCGACGAUAGAGAUUGAUUUUCCUAGUCCAAACACUUCGCUAAAUUUCUUUAGACACCCAUUGCGAUUCUUGAAGCUUCCACAGUCUCGUUUUUCGAGAUUCACCAGCAACGACUUCAACCUCUGUGAUCCAUGCUCGUCGCCGUCUUUUAUGAUACCAUCGGCCUACAGUUUUUCAUAGACCUGCUGCAUCAGCAGCCUGCCUAGCAGCCCAUUAUAUGGGCUCAUUCUCCAAUUUUAUUUUAUUUUGGGCUUUCAACCUAUUUUUUUCCAGUUAGACCUGUAAUCCAAUUCGUGUGAAAAAAAUUGUUUUCUCUUGAUUUAUAUAUUUUUGUCUUGUAUAUAUUGCGUUUGUUUACAGGUUUUAUGAGCCUGAAGUUCAUACUUCCGAACCCGAAGUUUCAAAAAAAGUGCCAUAGAAACCUAAAGUUUCUUAACGCGCAACACUCAUGUUGAGACCAUAAAUUCUACAUGCUUAAAUCCGUUUAAACCAAACCAUGUCUUAGAACCUGAAUGUUCUAACUUUCAUGUUUAUGGAAAUUUUAUUUCCUAAAACACCAAUCACAUUCAGCGUAUUGUCGAACCUUAACAAGUUUGAUUUCACUGAUUUGGAAGUUUUGAACAAGAAACUAUUUUAUGUGAAUACAAGACGUGACACCCUGCUUGACUAUUACUAGUUGCGAAAUCAUUAUAGCCAGUUAUGGUGUGGAAGAGCUGAAUAAGUCUCCGCCAUGAUCUUCGUUGGAAUACUUAUGCUUGAAGCAUAUCAAAUGGAAGUACCUCACUGGCGAGGACUCCAUGGCUAUUUGACUCGCUAUGGAUCGUUUCAAAUCAUGCAAAUAUAAGUACUUGCCCGAAGCAAAACAUGAUUGAAACCUUUACGUCCAUGAAUAGGUACAAUUUUGAAGUUUAUAUCCGAUCGAAUUUUGAUUGGAAGAAAAUCUUUCUCGUCCUUUUAUAUCUAAAUUGUUCUUGAAGUAGAAGUAUAGAGAGCGAAAGUUUACCAAAUUCUCGGAUCUGAUUACUACCACACUUGAGAGAAUGGUACCCCAGCAAUUCGGCUAGGAGCUACCAAACGGUAUAGACCCAGUUUCGACUGGAGUUUAUCGAAUGGUGGUGCCCUGCUUUAGUAGGGAUACACUGACAUGCAUGCUCUAUUUCGGCAGAGGUGCACCGAAGGGUAUACUCUGCUUUGGCAGAGGUGCACCGGACGGUAUUGCUCUACUUUGACAGAGGCCUACCAAACAGACCUCUCCAGUUUCGGUUGGAGCCUACCGAACCCAAGUCUGGGUCUGUCUCUCUCUCACAAUCCCAUUUCGAGUUUGUUUUACAAUUUAUGAUAAAAUAGGCCUACCAAGAGGUGGUAUCACGCUCAAAGCAUGAUCAUUGGCACCUAAAACUUCAAGAAUAAGGAAUAAUAUUGUCGAACCUCAACCCUGCAGAAUCUAACUUUGUUUUGAUGAAACAGAUAUUUGGUUAUGCACUUUUCUGUGCUUUUACAAAUUUUAUUGCUGAGUAACAUUGACAUAGUUAAUAUGUGAGACUAAUUUUGCUCCCCCUAACACAUUUGGAAGAGCGAAAUUUGACAUGGAAAGCCUUAUUAGUCGAAUCCCCUUGUAUAUUUGGUUUACUUUAUGAAUAAUUUAUUUUAUUCUCGGAUUUAAGAUUGGUGUUUGGAUGUCACGAUUAUUCUCAAAUAAGAGUUAAUUAACAAAAAAUUACCACAUGUGACUAAUACAAUUAACUCAUGCUUAGGUAUGUUGUGUGGGGAAGUUAGCAGUCUGGUUCUAUGUUAACUUCAUACCUAAUCAUCCUCUGACAACCAUUCAGGCUUAUCCAACCUGAUUGUGGGGCAUAGCACUGCCCUAUAUUGCCUAAUGGUACUAAUUUUACCAUAGGCCAAAUCAGAUAAAUGAUCCUUGUGGUCAUAAGGUAUUCGGAAGAUAGCCUAUGUGCUAAAAAAACUCGGAUUUAAACCCCUGUGGUUUACUCCGUUAGCAAAUUUAGUCCUAAAGUGAUUUUUCCGUUAACUAUCUAUUACUACAUGGGUAAAAUUGUACUUUGACAUGUGCACUUUCUUCUUCCUCGUCUUAAUAUAAUCGAAGCUACAUUUUUCGGGUCUACUCUCCGCCUAGGUAACGAUGGCAUUUGCAGAGUCUGAGACCGAACCCAUGAUUAAGAAAAUAUUUUUUCAUAAUUCAUCAUACAUGUAAAGUUAACGAAAUAACAAAUAUUAACAUACACAAAUGGCAGUGAUCAUACAAAUUACUUAAUCAUCUAAAAAAUUAUCAAAUGGGCAAUCGAACGUAAGGAAGGAUUAACUUACGACAACCUCGGCAUCUUUUGAGGUAAGAACAGCAAGAGCAGCUCUAGGUAUCACUUUCCUCUUGUCAGUUCUCAACUGAUUAGCCCAAAGCCUGUUAUUGAAACUCCCUCUAACCCUCUCCCCCAAAAACCUAGAACCACCAUCGCAGAAACCACUUGGUCUUCUCAAAUGGGUGUUUUUCAAAGCCACAUAGCAAGAAUCCAUUCAUGUUGCUUGCCAACUCUAAUAGAAUUCUAACCGAUCAGAAAUUGAAAACUCAGAUAGCAUUUAAACCAAAAUCCGAGUAAAACCCCAAUCCCAGUAAAAAUGUCAAAGUACAAUUUUACCCAUGUAUUAACAGAUAGUUAAUGGAAAAAUCACUUUUGGACUAAAUUUGCUAACGGAGUACACCACAAGGGUUUAAAUCUGAGUUUUUUUAGCAUAGAGACUAUCUUCCAAAUACCUUAUGAUCACAUGGAUCAUUUAUCCAAUUUGGCAUUUUACCAUAAAGGGAAGCCUUAUACUCACUCGUUCUGGAAGAAUGCGUUUUGAGCUUUAAGGAUAUUCGAGAAUAUUAUUACCAUAUUGAAACCAAUGUAGAAAAUGGAGUAAAAUUCCUUGGCAUAUUACCAUAUUGCACUUCCUACGAAUAUAGCUAGAAACAUAUUUUAGAGAAGAUGGAACACUUAAUAAGUGGAUUACACCCAUUUAGGCCCACUAUAUGGCCGGCCAGAAGCCUGCGAUUCCAAAGGAAUUUUCGCUAUAGAUGCAUGUUUGGGAUAUCUAGGAUGAUCUGUGAUGCGCCGAUUUGGGCAUCCUUUUACCAUAAGUAAAGUCAUCAUACAUGGAAACGUAUCAUGCUUUAGCACCCUCCAUCUUUUCUACAAAUGAUUCAAGGGGACAUUUGUGGACUGAUUCAACCACUAUUCGAACCAUUGAGAUACUUUAUAGUAUUCGUUUAUGCUUAUACACGUUGGUCACACGUGUGGCUAUUGUCCACAAGCUGCAUUCUCCACAUUGGUGGCUCAAAUUUACAAGCUCAGGGCCCACCACCCUGAUUAUCUGAUCAAACCUAUUUGAUUGGCUAAGUUGGAGAAUUUACAUCGAAAAACUUUUGAUGGAUAUUGCAUGUCAGUUGGGUUUUGAAGUUGUACAUAAAGUACCCCAUGUUCAUACCCCAAAUGACCUAGCAGAAGCAUUCAUUAAACGCCUUUAAAUGAUUGCGCAAUCAUUGGUCAUAUGUACCAAGUUCCUGAUCUCUGCUUGGGACUAUGCUAUAUUGAAAGCAACAAUGUUGGUUCGCCUGAGACCCGUUGCGACCUAACCUUAUAAAGUGUGUGUCAGUUGGUUACCAGAUACAAACCCGACAUAUUGCAUCUGCGCGUCUUUGGCUGUGCAGUUUAUAUGCCAUUUUGUGCCGCCCUUACGUACAAAAGGAAAAAAAAAAGGUUUUCAGGGAAAGAUGGAAAUCUAUAUCGGUUAUGAUUCUCCUUCUAUUAUUCGUUACUUAAAACCUUUUGAUAGGCGAUCUCUUUACUGCUCGUUUUGCUGAUUGUCACUUUUAUUAGACAGUCUUCUCGCUGUUAAGGGGAGAUAAGAACAUCAACGUUCCUAAAGAACAAUGUGAAUUAUUGUGGAUGUCCCACUAUGUCUCAUCUCGACCCCAAUCUAGAUCGUCAGAGUAUAAUCAGACACUACAUUUGAUAUAGCAAAAGUGACGAAAUCACAUAUACCAGCUGCAAAUGUGCUUGCAAAGAUAUGUACCAAAUGUAUGAUGAACCUUCGUCCUGAAAGCAGGAACGCCACUAUUGUGGCUAACCCUCAUACAUUGGCGGUUAGCCAAUCAACUUAUCAUACGCUGGCAACGUGGCAGAUCACUCGGUUCGAAGAUUCACUUUCUCAAAAGUGGAGGAACAUGGCAUAAACAAAUCCGUCCCUUGAUCUCUGUCUCAAUCCUUUUCAUCUCAUGAGAUUAAAUACAGAUUACUCUUGAAACCUGAAGUUGUUGGUCCAGUAUACUAGUUUGGAUGAGAUAUGGAAUUGGAAUGAGAUUAUCAUAUAUGAUGUUUCACUUAUAUGGUAACUACCGACAUAAAUGAAAAGCGACAAUAACGAACAACGUUCCGUUGAUUAUUGUCAAUGUAUAACUGAUUGGUUAAUUAAAAGAAUCAAUCUAUGACGAAUGAGAUGAAUGAAAUGGUGCGAUAUGACGCCUUAUGGCGCAAGGUUUCUUUCAUAUGCCAUGUGAUUAAUUGCAGCAUUACAAAUGUGGUUGUAGUAUCUCUAGGAUCCUGAUACAAAACCUACAUGGAGUUUCCAGAUGACUUACAUGUACUAAUUUAAAUAGUUAUAGACCACAAGAACACCCUCUCAGUUCUCUAGAGGCCUUCACUUUGCGGAUGCAGAACUAUUCGGGCGGAUGUGGUAUACUCGUCUAAGCGAAUAUUUGAUCAGUUAGGGAUAUAUGCCCCUGCAUGUACAAAAUCUGAAAUUGCUAGAGUCGAGAAUACCGACUAGCACAUAAAGUCAGACUUUAAGAUGAAUGAUCUUGGGAAAACUCGACAUUACCUUGACCUGAAGUUUCGAGCUAGUUUUGAUGGUAUUCUGGUUCACCACUCGAACUAGACCCAGAUGGUGUUACAUCUGAUUAUACCCUAGUUAUCUGUAUGCUAGAUACAAAUGAGACAUUUAUGGAGGGUAUAAAGCAUAAGGUUCCAUAUUGGAACGUGAGGCAACCAUAUCUAAGUACGAUUGGCAUUUGUUGUACUUAGCUCAAUGCACUAGAUCGGACAUCUUAUGUGCUAAUAAUCUUUUGGCAUAAAGCAGCACUACGCCUACACGCCAUCACCAAUUUGGUGUUAAAGAUGUUUUUCCGUUACUACGGAUUUGAGCUUAUCUAUCCUUAUGCAUCUCAAAAUACAUCACACCCUCUUAAUCUUUAGAAUGAUGCAUACCUUGUGGGAUUCGUUGAAUCAGACCAUUUGUCUGACCGCAUAAGAUACGUUCCCGAAUGGUUAUGUCUUUACCAUUAAAGAACACCAUAAUAUCUUGGAGGUUAAUCAGAUAGACGCAAAACCUUUGAAUCGUUCCAAGACUCACUGUAUCUCAUCACGUGAGAGAUAUGGUCGAGAGCUCUUGUUGAGCAUAUUCAAAAUCUCUGCGAUUUUCAUCUAUCGUUAAGUCCCAAUAACGAUCCAUGAAGACAAAGCCAUAUGUAUUGACCAGAUCAUGAUACAUCUAACAAGUCAACACCAAGGAUAUUGUCUACAUCAGCAUGAGCAUCAGAAGAUUGAAGUCAAGCAGUCUAAUCCCAAACAACCUUGCCGACCUCUACACGAUGUCACAGCCAAAGUCUACCUUCCAGAAGCUUGUCCGAGGAAUUGGUAUGUGUAACUUUCUCACUUGUGAUGCUUAUAGUUUCAUUUGACAGUUUUGUCAAACUCAGGGGGAGUAUCCAGAAUUAUACUCACUUGACCUUAAUGUACUUUUUUUCCUACGAUUAUGAGCAUUUUUCCCAUUGGGUUUUUGCUACCUAACUAGUUUUUGACGAGGCACUCAUCAUGGGUUGGUCAUACCCUUGUGUACAUCAUAUUUGCGUCCCGAAGACGUAUAGUAUUGAUUUAAUGCAAUUUCUCAUUUUUCUCCUUUGACUAUGGGUUUUUGUCCCACCUUUGGUUUUGCCAUAACGAGGUUUUGUGAGUUUUAGUACUCAUGCAUUAUUCCGUUUGUUUUAAGACUCACAUUCGCUACUUGUGCUGACUAGACGAGGCGACUUCAUCAAUUGCUUCUACAUUUGCCUGAAGAUCUGAUGCGCCAUCUACUUGAGUAUUUGCACACACACUCAAGAAGGAGUGUUGUGACAUAUGUUCAUAUCAAUAUUGUGAUUGUGUAAAUCGUAAGUAGAGAUAGAAUAUGAAUUAUUUGGGAUCUAAAAGAUUUUUCCUAAUAGACUUUGUAUUACUUGAAAAAUAAGUUUCUUUCCUCUUUAUUACUAUAAAUAAAAGUACAAAAACUAGAGAAUUAACACAAUUCUUUAAGCCUAUUCUCCAUUCUCUUUCUCUAUAUGCCGCACCUCUCAGUUAAAGAUAGACCACAACAAUAAUAUCAUUAUUUUCUCUAAUUUUCAUCACAAAUGAUCAUCUGGGUUCCAAUUAAAAUACAUGCACAAACAAAUAAUUAAUUAAAUAAAUAAAAAGAGUGGCAAAUUGGUCUUUUAACAUGACAAUAUAACAAUUAUUAAAAUCUCUUCAGGUAUAUAACACAGAGGCAGAUUGUUUGCACUUCUGUUUGGAUGUCUUUCUCAUCCUCUUUUAUUUUAUGUUGUCACGGUUAAGUCAUGUCAACAUUUUAUAUUGAUUUUUUUAUAAAGAUAAUAAGACAAAAAAAAAUAAAAAUAUAAAAUAUUAAUUUAGCUUAACCGUCGCAGCAUAAAUAAAAGAAAAUGAGAAGAGCAUCUAAAUAGGAGCACAGACAAUCCGCCUCUGUAUAACACACAGUCACCAAUUAGACCCAUUAAUUAUACAAUUUUUUAACAAUAAUAACAAAAAAACAGGGGAGGAAAUUAAAUUAAAUUAUAAAAAUAAAAAUUGAAAUUGAAAUUAGCGCCUGCAGCGAGUAACGACGCUACGGCCGAGACGGUAGGGAUUUGCCGGAGACCGAUGUCGAGCCGGGGCCCCAGGUCGGCAGUUGUAGUAGGACGCGCCACGUCGAGAGCAGGGGACAGUGUUCCUACUCAGCGCACCGUAGCUAAUGUAACUCCCCGUGGCUAAGAUGCGCCGGUUGAUCUCCGAGUCCAUUUGCAUCUCCGCAUCCUCGUCCUCGUCAGCUAUCAGUCCACCCGCCGCCGAUCUCGUCGAACCCCAGCUCAGGUCGCCCAGCUGGUGGCCCCCGCUGAAAUCAACGGCCGAAGCUGAAGCAAUCACUACCAAAUGGGCGGCCAGGACUGCGCAGAUGAAGAUGCAGCCAAAGAGUGAUGGAGUUCUUGAGUUUGAGCUUCCCAUUUUUUUUAUUUCGGUU